UUGUGUUUGGUGUUGCGAGGGCAUUAGAUAAGGCCCAAGGGACUAAAUCCCUAGUGAAUGAUGGAUAGGAGGUGCUAUCCAAACGUCCAAGGUUCUGGAGACAGGAGAAAUCCGUUUACCUGAUUUAGACAAAGCUAAAAAUAGGAUUUUGGCAAGGUUGGUGAUGGGCAUAUAAAGGCCCAUAAGUAGCAAUGUUAAUCCCGGUGUGUGGGAUUAUAAGGUGAGUAUGCCCAAAUUGAGGAACCACUCCCUAAGCUAUCAGGUAGGUUCAUCCCUAUGAAUACUUAUUAAGGCAUAGUAGAAGGUGCAAAGCUAUCCUCCUAGUCUGGAGGAGAAUAACCAAAAGAAAUAUAUAAAGCCAAAAGGCAAGUAAUAUUGGGAUGGAACUGAACCAUAGAAAUCGAAGGGCAUAACCGAUGGUGGUUAUGCAAGUUGGGAGUGGAGAAUCAAAAGGGUGUUCGAGGAUGUUGUUACUAGCAACCAUGAUGCCAUGGAGAGUCUAAAAUGUGGAAUUAUCCAUGUUAGACCAUAUGGUGAGUAGGAAGCUUCCAAAGGAGAAGCCUUAGCAAGCUAAGGAACAAAGUUCCUUGAAGGUUCCCAAAGACAAUUCUAGGUAGAUAAAUACCUAGAAAGCCAAGUGUGAAUGGUUCCUAGAGCUUGCGAAAUCAAAGUGGCACAACAAAAGCGUUGUCUUGGAACUGGCUAUAAGGCGAGGCUAUCAAGGUUGGGGAAGUAAUUCCCAAGUGUUCAAAGAAAGGGCUUUGAAUGAAAGUCGAUGGUUAAGGACUUUCAUGUUUAUGCAUGAACCAUGUUACGGUGGCCGAAUGACUUGCUAAGUGAGAUUGGCAAGUUAGGGGAACAAAUCCUCUAAUCGAAGGUGCUAACUUCAAAAGGGGUGGCCCAUAGGGCUGAGUAUGGAGGAGUCCAUGCAUGAUCAUAGAUUUGCCAGGUGAGAGGAUUUAGUAGUGCGGAGGAACUAGGUUCCUAAGCUGUUAUCUAUAGCAUGCUUUAAGUACAUGUAGGUGCACCGGCAUGGGGAGUCACGCCAGGCAUCCUGUGCGAUACCAUCUGUAGAUGCAUAUACGAAGGUUGGGUUCGAGUCCUGACCCUCUAGUGCUUGGGUUUAAGUCCCAAAUCACUAGGGCGUGGUGAUGGUUUGGAAUAUGAAGACACUCAUUUUUCAGUAGUCAUGGACUCUCAGUGAGGAGACUGGUUUGGGCACACUGCCAAGCGAGGGAUGCCUUGGAGUUGUGAUGCACAGUUAAAUUGUUUAGUGUGGCUCGGCAUAUCUAAUUUUAACAUCUUAGUGCGAGUGGCACCAAGGAUGUAGUGAAUGAGAUGGGGACACCUAAUCUCAGUUGCUAUGGACCCUUGGCCGUAAAGGUUAGCUUGGGUGCACCGCCAAGUGUGGGGGAUGCCCCCGGGGUCAUGGUCAACAACUUGAAGGUCUAGAAGACCAAGUACCUCUUGGCAACUCUGAUAAGGUGCCAAGGUGAGAUCACUAGGUGAUCUUGUGGCUAAAUAAGGACAAGGUCUUUGGUUGACUAAGGAAUGAAGUUCUUGGUUCAAAGUGUUGAUUUGAACUAUUUAUGAUGGUGGUGUUUGGUCAAGAUGACCAAGUGGGAAGAGCACCUAAGAGAAAUAAGCUGUGUCCAUGCAAUGGCAUAGUGAAUCUGAGGAAAAUAGUCUUUAUAAGAGACCUAUGGGAGGGUCACUAAAUUGAGCUAUGAAUAAAGCCAUAGCAGGAAAUGAUAAAGAGACAUACUAGGGGUAAAAGCCCUUUGGACUUAGUAAGCAAAGUCUUUGCUAUAAAACCGAAAGGAUACUUCAAGAAUGAAGGUAGCGAUCCGAUGUUGCUAGGUGCAACAAUCAAGGAUAGGAGCAAAAGACUAGUGGUUAAGAAAGGAGCCAUGGGAAUCAUAGGAAAGAAUCCAAAAUGCAAAAUUAAGCCAAGAAUACUAAUGUGUUGGGUGCUAAUGAAUUGUGGGAAAGGCGAUGUGUUUCUAAGGAUGGAUUCCCAAUUGCUCCGAUUUAGCGAAAGUGGAAGCUCCAAGAUAGGGAGCAGUAAAGUAGCUAAAUGAUAGGGAUGUGGACAACCCUAGCAUGAAUUAGGAUAACUGAAACUUAGUGCCAAAGGUCACACAAAAUGGGAAAGAGAAUGAUAGUGCCCUCAAAUAAAGAACUUCCAAAGAUGGGGAAGUGGAAUUGCAUAAUAUAUGCAAUGCAAGGUGUCGAAGACACUUAGGAAAUUGACUCUGACAAGUCAAAUUUAAAAGUUCUAGAGUGCAAGUUUAUAUCAAUAGGAACUGAGGCUACUUAAGAGUGAGUAGUGGGAUUGAGAUAGAGGAAGUGCCUCUAAUGGGUUUAGAAAUAACUAAACCAAUGAAAGGAAAAGAACCACCAUAGGUGGUCGAUCAAGUCUUUAUGUCAGAGAAGCUAUGUGCCUUAGAGGAUGGAGAAGGCAUAGUGAGCCUUCAGUGUCAUACCAUUGAUGAAUAUUGGCUAAAUGCUAAGGAUGGAAACGGUAAUACAUGUUAGUGUUACUUUAUAAAAAUGGUUUACCGUUCGAUGAGGACAUCGAACUUCGUCUAUGGGUGGUGGAGUUGUGAGACACAAAAUCCCUAGGCCCCAAAGUGGAGACAAAAGGGUGCCAUGUGGUAGUGGCCAAAGUGAAAGCCAAACGAACGUAACACGUUUGGACUAAAAUCUCUGACUUGAAAGGUCGAGAGCGGGAGUGAAACUCCCAACAAAGUGCUCAAAGAACAAGCACAAAGCAAGCAAUAAGUGAGUCUCUAGAAAAGGAGUCCGAGAUGGACCUGAGAUGGAGUCCAAGAUGGAGUCCGAGAUGGACCCGAGAUGGAGUCCGAGAUGGACUUGAGAUGGAGUCCGAGAUGGACUUGAGAUGGAGUCUGAGAUGGAGUCUGAGAUGGAGUCUGUCACGAAUGUGACUUCGGGUAUCGAAAGUUACCUGUCGACCAGUCCUUACGGACACUCUUACCUUACUGCCACGAUGGCAGGAGGUCGAUAUUGCUGGACCCUUUAUCAGUCCCUUUGGUGCUAGUGGAGUUAACUGGGCAUUUCGAGUGUACUUAGACCGGACGAACAUAAGGACGGAAUUCCUACGUGUUAUUAGCUAAGCAUACUUAGCCCGGUAAGGAGUUCCCGUCUCGUUUUGUCUUGCACUUGCUAGUGACAAGAACCCUCGCAUAUUGAGAUUGGUCCCUCAAUAUUGCUACAUGAUAGCUUACCGUGUUUGCCAAACACCCUCGCUAUCAUGCCCUUUGUGUUAGUCUCAUUUCGGUCCCAAAUGCUAUUUAUGGAAAGUGUCCUGAUUUGCUCAUUUGGCAUAUCUACAGAAUGUAGAGAUCGUUCUGAACACAAUGGUGUUCGUCCCGUGUCCAAAUUUGCAAUCUAGGGACAUUCCAUAUUUAGUAAGUUUCGAGCUUGUCCUAAAGACUAACUCCUGAUACUAAGGGAGGCUUGGGGUGAAAGCCCAAAGCGUGUGUUCUUCAAGGGGGGGGGGGCUAUAAGGGGUUCUAAAUGUAUAGUAGGGAUAGUGGGUAGGUCGGGCAUGGCCGACCAACUUGAGGCAUAGUCUAGCUCCCGCUUGUGUGCCUGUCCUUAUUUUGCAUCCGGCUUGGGUCUAAGCCCAAGUUCCAUUCCAUGCUAGUUGGUGGAGUACCCAUAUCCUUGCGUUAGGCCACCGGUAUGCCGAAAUAGCACCAGACUCUGUUUGGCUCCGUUUUGCGUGCUGGUCCUGGCAUUGGGAUGCUGGUUGCUCCAGGACUGUUCCAAGUCGCUCUGGGCUCCUAUCCCUUCGCUCAUUGGGCUUUAUGCUCGGGAGUUGCUCCGUGGUUCGGUUCCGUCAUUCCUUGGCUCCAUGCUUGGGAGUUUGGCACCGUUCCUUCGUUCAGUGGCCCAAGGCCCUGAACCUCAGGUUCCUAUGGACACGUGGCAUGGACAUGUGGCAUAUGACACGUGGCAUCUGUCACGUGGCACAAAGAGGUUUAGAGGUCCUAUGGUAAAUCAUCAUAGGAUAAAGGGUCAAAACCACGUGCGCUACAGAGUCCGAGAUGGAGUCCGAGAUGGACCUGAGAUGGAGUCCAAAAUGGAGUCUGAGAUGGAAUCCGAGAUGAAGUUCAAGAUGGACCUGAGAUGGAGUCCGAGAUGGAGUCUGAGAUGGAAUCCAAGAUGGAGUCCGAGAAGGACCCGAGAUGGAGUCUGAAGUUGAGAUCGAGACCGAGACUAGGACCGAGACCGGGACCAAGACCGAGACCGGGACCAAGACCAAGACCGAGACCAAGAUCGAGGCCAAGGCCGAGACCGAGCCCAAGCCCGAGUCUGAGUCCGAGUCCGAGUCUGAGUCCAAGUCUGAGAGGGUGAAAGCCCAAAGCGUUCAUCUCCCAGACCCUAGGGGGUUUGGUGAGCUUCAAAAGUAUAGUAGGGAGAGGACUCCAGUGGAGCCAGUUUGGCCAGGAAAGGCCAGUUUGUCCCAGGAAGGCUAUACCCAGGUUUGGUGAACUCCAAAAAUAUAGUAGGGGGAGGACUCCAGUUGAGCCAAUUUGGCCAGGAAAGGCUAGUUUGUCCCAGGAAAGCUAUACCCAGGUGUUGGGUGAUAGGAUAACCACUGGGAAGUCCAAAGCUAGAGUGAAUACGGACCGACAAGUGGGGUAGCUUGGUGAAGUGUUCAAGAGCUAGCUCUAGUUCCCCCGGGAGAUCGAAUGGUCGAUGCUCCCAGUCCAAGUGUGGGUGGCACUACCUACUUGGAUACCUAGCAUAACUCAAUGGAACCUCGCUCUAAGCCCAUGGUUAAAGCACCCAAAGGUGGAAGGUGAGGAGAGUACCCAUGAGGCUCGCGUAGGGCCACGGUGUUCCGAAAUGUUGUCCCAAAGGCCUAGACUGUGAAAAGGAAGAGGAGUAGUCGUCUGAUGUAGUGAUCAAGGAUAUAGUCGGGUGGUGAGGAAGUCCCAAAGGACCGUGGGACUUAGUGGUCGAGCCUGUGGGCCUCGAUCCAGUGGCAGUGUUGGCGAAUAUGGCCAUGGGCAGCAAAGGACUUGGUGGGGACCAGAAAAGGGAUAUUGAGGAAGGCUAUUCCCCAUAUCUGUGGGCAUCCUAUGGAUGCUAAGGAGUGGAUCUGGGAUGAUCACUCAUGGACGGAUGGCUCAGUCUUUGGGAGACGAGACUGUGAUGUAAGUGGUGUCAGACCACCAGUGUGACCAAAGUGACUGGGCAUGGCCUUAGCGUAACGGGCUAAUAUGUCGAUGGUACCUUGGAGACAAGUUGGUGGAUAAAGGGUAUGUUAGGUUAAUCAAGUUGUUAUAUGGGGCACUAAUGUUAUUUGUGAAAAAGAAAGAUGGACCUAUACGCAUGUGUAUAGACUACCGGUUACUAAACAAGUAUAUAGAAAAGAACAAAUACCCUUUACCAAGGAUUGAAGACUUGUUCGAUAGGAUGGGAAAGGCAAAAUACUUCUCGAGGAUUGACCUAAGGUCAUGGAGAAAGAGGAAAAAGGCAAGCUCAGAAGUUCAAGCUUAGGAAUACAAAUUUGAGAGGUUCUGUAAGUGACUAAAUUUUCCAAUCUACUUUAGUCACUUAACCACACCUUUCACCACUUGGAGGAGUCCCACUCACAACCUCUGUAAAUCCUAGUUUGGACUUAGGGACUUGCUAGCCCCAAAGAUGGCAUCCAUGCCAUUCAACCAUUGCACUUGGUCCAAGUGCUCCACAUGUCCAAUCUCAUAACCGACACCAGUUAGCACUUGAGCUCCUUGCGUUUCUUUUCGUUCAAACAAUAGGGGGGACAAACCAUAGCCUUAGCAUCUUUGACCAGCUCAAUUUUAUAUUUUAUCAGUCAUGAAGGGGGUAACACUAGCUCCUCCAGCAUGGUAUCUUGGAAUUGGUCCAACACUUACUAGAUCACUAAAGUUACUUCUUUUGUUCCCAUCUUUUUAUCACUCCUCACCGAGAAUAAGUAUAAAAAUGUUGCCUUGGUUCCUUUAGUGAGUUUUCCUCUUGUGAACAUCAGGUUCAAAUAGGAGUCGUUGGCCUUACAUUGCCCUACCUUUAAAUCCUAAGCCUCCACCCUGGAUUGUUCUCCCUGAGCAUUUGCCAGUACCACAAGGUUUCUACCUUGUCCAUGCAAGGCUACUACGAACUGAUUGAACCAAUCCAUCCCGAAGAUUAUAUCAAAUCCCGCUAUGUCCAACACGGUGAAAUCCAUGUCUACUUUCCAUGUCCCUACUUCGACUCUUGCUUGUUGAAGUACCUCAUUGGUGCUUUGGCUACCUUGAACAAUCCUUGGUUCCUCAGCCUCUACACUGUUAGUCCGGCUCACCGGACUAUGUCUGCACCCACAAAAUUAUUUGAAGCACCCAUGUCAAUAAAGAUCUUAACAAAGCUACCUUUGAGUUUCCCUUGGAGGGGUAGUAAAUGUCGCGAACGACUCUUUAACAAGGUUGCUCAUGUAAUGAGUAACUUUGAGCUAAGGACUGGAUCAUGUACCUCAAUUUGGUUUUUAUCCGACUUAAUGGCCAUAUUGACUCUGACCUUCUUCAGGUAGGGACAUUCCCUUGAAAAAUGUCCCACUUCACCACAGUUGAAGUAUAUAUUGUUUCCCAUGCUACUAGUAGAGUUGACAUGAUUAUCCAUGAGUUUGUCCCUCUUUGCUUGACUCCCCCAUGUACUUGCUCUUUGGCCACCAGAUCUGCCUUAUUGAAACUCUAAGGACUCGUUUUUAGAAAAACUCUUCUUGAAUUUUCCUUUGCCAUAUGUUUCCCUUGGUUUGGCCCCUUUGCUAAAUGUAGACCCUGACUCCAUUAUGUUCGCCUUUCACAUGUUAUCAUUGAAAUGUGUAAGGAACCAACUCGCCAAGGUGUCGUAGGCUAAAGGAACCCCAAAAGCAUGACCAAAAUGACAAAGAGUUCAUCGGAUGGGACCAAGUCGAAGAUUGAGUCCAAGACCGACUCGGAGACCGAGUUCAAGAUAGAGUCUGGAAUCGAGUUCGAGGCCGACUCGGGACCGAGUUCGAGACCGAGUUCGUGUAAGCCACAAAUUUUUCCUUUCCAAUUUGCCAGCUUACCUCGUCUAUCCGUCCAACACUGCCUUGGCUUUUGCUAAGUCCCCUCGCCAAGGUUCUCGCCUAUGGUACCAGCUCCUACUUGGUUUCAGCUACUCACUGCACGAGCAACGGGGCGUUAGCCAUCCUUCCACGGAUUCCCAAAUCACUCCCAAUCCCCCUCCCCGGGUUAGACUGGACUUAAGGUUCGGCUACACUCCCCGCAAGCACAAGCAGCCAAGCACACCAAGCUUCCAGGUUCCUAACAUCCCUUGGUACCACAAGACUUGAUCAUGGGACCCUCUAAAUCCCAAGUCUUGAGUGCAACACUUGCUUCGGGAUGCCGGGGCGAAACACCGUGGCCUAACGGCCCGGUAUGGGUACCUCUCGCCCCCCACUUCCAUCCCGAAGGANNNNNNNNNNNNNNNNNNNNNNNNNNNNNNNNNNNNNNNNNNNNNNNNNNNNNNNNNNNNNNNNNNNNNNNNNNNNNNNNNNNNNNNNNNNNNNNNNNNNAGACUAAGUCCAAAUGCUUAUGGGGGUCAAGGGGUGAAAGCCCAAAGUGUGUGUCUCCCAGGGGGGGGGGGGCUGCAGGGGGUUCCAAAAGUAUAGUAGGGAUAGUGAGGUCUAGGAACCAAUUUUGAAGGGACUCUUCAGUGGGGCUUCCAAACUGACUUGAGGUUGAGACUGGGACCGAGGGGCCUUGGGUGGGAGUGAGCAUGGACUUGGUUGGUGCCGAAGGGGCCAUCCAAGGAAGUGCUCAAGAGCAGCUCCCACUCCCGAAAGGGAAACCAAUUGCGGUGCUCCCGGCUCAUGUGGAGUGGUGCCCCACUUGAGUACCAUGCGGCUCAUUGGUCCUCGCCCUUCCUAGGAGCUUGGACCUUCCCUUCGGGAUGGAAGUGGGGGGGUAGAGGUACCCAUACCGGGCCGUUAGGCCACGGUAUUUCGCCCCGACGUCCCGAAGCAAGUGUUGCACUCAAGGCUUGGGAUUUAGAGGGUCCCAUGAUCAAGUCUUGUUGUACCAAGGGGUGUUAAGAACCUGGAGGCUUGGUGUGCUUGGCUGCUUGUGCCUGCGGGGAGUGUAGCCGAACCUUAAGUCCAGUCUAACCCGAGGAGGGGGAUUGGGAGAGAUUUGGGAAUCUGUAGAUGGGUGGCUAACACUUCGUUGCUCGUGCAGUGAGUAGCUGAAACCAAGUAAGACCAAGUAGGAGCUAGUACAAUAGGCGAGAACCUUGGCAAGGGAACUUAGCACAAGCCAAGGCAGUGUUGGUCGGAUAGACGAGGUAAGCUGGCAAAUUGGAAAGGAAAAAUUUGUGGCUUACAAAAUGCACCUUAAUAGUUGCAUCCAAUGCUUUUUUGUAGUUGGUCAGGUUCCAAUGCAUCACCUCGCCUAAAGUCCAAAUCUGUAAACCUGAUAUAAAGGCAUGGAAUGCAUCUAUAUUGCCCAUGUCUAUGACAAGGAUCCUUUUUGCUAUAAACUCAUUCACAUACUCUUGAAUGGUUCCUGCUUGCUUUAGCCUGCUUAGCUCAUCCCUUAGGUGUAAAGUAGCAUUCGACAAAAUAUAGGUUAUACGGAUCCUCACCUUCAUCAUUUCCCAAGUGGCCACUGGUCUUUCACUAGCCUUUGUUGGUCUUCACCAAGACUUAAUAUUAUCUGCCAAGUAUGGUUUCGCAUAUGGGACAUUCUUUGAGCUUAGUAACUACAGCGCUCGAAAGUAAUCCUCCAUAUGGUAAAACUAAUCCUCCACUACUUUAUAGUCAUUCCCUGGGGGUGAUUCCACUUUAGUUUGUUCAACUUUGUUUAGUUCUGCCUCAAUCCCCACUAAAGGGUCCACGCCUUCUGUGCUACCAACAUCUGUAGUCUUUUGCUUUUUCUUUUACUUCUUAUCAUGCUUUAACUUGCAUACAAGAGUCUCUAGUAGGGCAUUGGUCUGUGCCAAUUGUCUUUUUAGAAUGUCCAAUCGAGCCUUGUUUAUGGACCCUUUCCCUCUAUAUUUGAACCCCUAUGGAUCGUUUCUCGAGUCAUUCCCUUUGGUUGCUUUUGCAAUUGGUAUGUGUUAGUUGUCCUUCUAGAAUAUCCAAUUGAGCCUUGGAGAACCGAACCUCACCACCGAACUCUUGUUUAGAAGUUUUCGCACUAGAGUUCUCCUCAUACAAGGAUACCUCAUCUAUAGGUUCUUGUUCGACCAGAAGCUCCAGCUUUGAAAGAGGUUUUAUCUCCCUUUUGGUUCUUUUAUGCCUUACCUUUGCCAUCUCCUAGCAAUCCACCUUUAUCCUUCCCUAGAAUUGAGGAAAACGCUUCGAUACUAAAUUGUAAGCUAUAAGUUUUUCCUUUUCAAUUUGCUAACUUACCUCGUCUAUCCAACUAACAUUGCCUUGGCCUUAGUUCAGUUUCCUUGCCAAGGUUCCCGCCUAUUGUACUAACUCCUACUUGGUCCUAUUUGGUUUCAACUACUCACUGCAUGAGCAAUAGAGCAUUAGCCAUCCAUCCACGGAUUCCCCAAAUUUCUCCUAAUCCCCCUCCCAGGGUUAGAGUGGACUUAAGGUUCGGCUACACUCCCCGUAGGCACAAGUAGCUAAGCACACCAAGCCUCCAGGUUCCUAAUGUCCCUUGGUACAAUAAGAUUUGAUCAUGGGACCCUCUAAAUUGCAAACCUUGGGUGCAAUAUUUGUUUUGAAACACUAGGGGGAAACACUAUGGCCUAACAGCCCAAUAUAAGUACCUUUACUCCCCCAAUUCCAUCCCGAAGGGAAGGCCCAAGCCCCUAAGAAGGGCAAGGAAUAAUGAACCGCAAGGUACUCAAGUGGUGCACCACUCGAUAUGAGUCGAAAGCACUACAGUUAGUUUCCCUUUCGAGAGUUGGAGCUACUCUUGAGCACUUCCUUGGGUGGCCCCUUUGGCACUACUCAAGUCCAUACUCACUCCCACCCAAAGCCCUAAGUGGCCCUAGUACUCCAGCCACUAAAACAGCAACUUCCUUUUUAAAUUUACAUCACGACUAGAACAAAGGCUUUUGGAGUAUGUGUUUGCCAACAUUCAGAACCUGGCAAGCCACCACAUACAACAUACUUGCCUCACAUUCAUUCAAGGAGACUAAGAAGAAGUAUGUUGAUGCAAAAAAAGAAGUAGUGGCUGUUGUUUACACCUUGGAGCGAUUUUGUCACUUUCUUGCUGGAGCCCAUAUCCAUUUCCACAUCUGUUUUAAUGUGUUGACCUUUCUUUUAUAGUGAUUGGUUCACAAUCCUCAUACUUUAUCUAGGAUUGUGACCAUCCAAGAGUUCCAGCCAACUUUUCAUAUGCAGCGGAAGCGUGUGAUGGAUCUGAGCAAGUUCCUGGUUGCUAAGGCUACCUCCUUUGUGGCCCCAGCAGCAUUACAAGACAUUGCCAUGUACCUAGAUUCAAGCAAGUUCCCAAAAGAUUCCUCACCAGCACAACAAAAGGUGUUGGAAAUCCGAGCAUGGUGGUUUUGCCUUCUCGAUGGACAUGUUUAUAGGAGGACUUCUCAGGAUGUUUUGUUGUAGUGUGUGGGUGAACAUGAAGUCCCUGAGUUCCUUCAUGCUUUCCACUCUUGUGUGGGGCAUUUCUCGCACAACUUGGACAGCACAACUCCUCUUGUGCCAUAGCUACUUUUGGCCUCGAAUUCACCAGGACAGCUUGGACUAUGCAAAGGCAUGUGAGCAAUGCCAAUGGUUCAACCCCUGGAGCCAUGUUCCAUGUCUUCCUUUUUAGCUCGUCACUUCUUUGGGUCCCUUUUUCCAAUGGGGACUUGACUUCGUUGGCCUGAUCAACCCACCGAGCUCAAAAGGACAGCGAUACAUCAUUGUGGCAAUGGACUACUUCACGAAAUGGGUUGAGGUCAUCCUUCUACAACAAGUAGAUAAAUAGUCUAUAGUGAAGUUUGUCUACAAGUACAUCAUUUGCUGAUUUGGAGUUCUUGCAAUUCUGAUUUCUAAUUAUGGUGGCAGCUUCCUUAGACAAGUGAUGCAGCAUCUUUUCUAGCAGUUGUAGGUCAAGCACAUGAAGAGCAAUAGCUACUAUCCUGAGUGCAGUGGCCAAUCAAAGUUUAGUAACAAGACAUUGAAGACCAUCAUCUUAAAGUUUGUAGAGGAUCACUCGAAGUGUUGGUACAAGCACUUGGUUACGGCAUUGUGGGCCUUUUGGAUGUCCUUCAAGAUAUCCAUCUCAGUGACUUCAUUCUCCCUCAUCUAUGGGAUGGAAGCCAUGCUUCCAGUGGAGAUCCAAGUGCUAUCACUCUCACUUUUGCUUUGAUAUGCAGUGGAGAUGUAGCUUAGUGAUGAGGACACACUUUAUGUGCAUGACUUGGAGGUUCUUGCCUUGGAAGAACAACGAUGAGCCACAACUGAUCAUCUCCUUUGAGGCAAGGAGAAGAUCAAGUUUGUCAUUGAUCACCAAUAGUCCACUGAACCAUUCAAGGAUAGCAAUCUUGUUCUACUCAAGGAGUUCAUGCCACCUUCAAAGUUCUCUCCUCGUUGGAUAGGCUUCUACUUUGUCCAGUGACACAUUGGAGGUGGAAUAUAUGUGGUAGUAGAUGCUGAUGGAUGUGAGCUCCCACAUGCUCUCAACCACUCUCAUCUCAAACGCUUCAUCUGGUGAGGCAUUCCUCUUUUAUUCUUUUUCUUUUGCUUCCUUUCUUUCACUUUACUUUCACAACUUCUUUUCUUAUUUUCAGAGGGUGUUUUUUCACUGGACCAUGGCUCUUGCCUUGGAUUUCAUGCUCAAGCUGCAUUGUUAUUUAUAUGGAGGUUCCUCACUUAGCUCAAGCUAUGUUCCAGGUUCUUUGGCCCUCUUACCAUUACUCUACCCCACACAUUCCCCACACAUGUUUCAUAUCAUCUACAUUCACAGAUUUAUCACCAAUCGCUUCUAGUAACAUUGCUUGCACUUACUUCUAUUGGGGGAAGGAGGGGUGCCUCCUCUAACGCUUACUCAAACAUAAGAAGUGCAAUAAUGCUUUUCACAAAUGCUUCUCUUUGCCCUUAUGAGGCAAGGGUUUUAUACAAGGAAGAUGGGGAAUAUUCUAGGAAUCAGAAUAUUUCCUCUCUCACACUCUCUAAGUGGCCACACCCUAAUGUGACCACGAUGGGUUGCGCUGACUCUAGAUGCACGAGAACUCUCUAAAGAGUGUAGAGUGUACCUCUAUUGCUGAUGCCAAGUGUUGGUAACUUCAUGAACUAAUAGAAACUCUAGAAAACAAAGUGGGAAAAUAAAGAAAUGGGGUAGGUGUAACGUUUGAAAAUAAGGAGGAAAACCCAAUGGGAAACCUUGUAAUCAAACUAGACCCUAGGAGCUGGUUGAAGGGAGUAUCGGAUAGAUAAUAGCUAGUUUAGAAACUAUAAAAGCAAAGAGUGUUCUUGGCCCCAUUUGACUCAAAGUUUUUGUGUCAACCUUGUGUAAACAACCAAAGGGAACAACUCAAGAGACAAUCCAUGAGGUUCAAAUAUAGAGGGAAAGGGCUCAUGAAUAAGAGUGCACCCUUUUUUCCAAUUAGUUAAGGGUCUGGGGAUAGUUGGGGUUGAGUGUCUUUAGGUUUGAAUAGUACUAAAUUGGGUGACCUCCCAGAAAGUCUAGAUUCAAGAGCUUACACCCCAGUUGAAAUUUGGAAAGAUAUUGAAGUGUUAGGCCAAUAUAUCAAAAUCCAAAUGAAGAACUCGGAACCUAGAUACGACUUUUGUCAAUGCACUAGACACCACAAGGAGGCCUACUCAAUCAAGAAAAAUAGGCUAGCCUCUCAAAAGCCUUUUAAGCUACUGGAAGAGUAAGAGAAGAUCUUGAAGGCAUGCCCUUUAAACCAAGCUCCCCACAUUCGCUUCCUAGUUGCCCCACCACUCGUAGGCUCUUCAACUAUUUAAGGAGCCUAUCACUAAUGUCAAAGGGGAUGGCUUCCAGCCGGUCCUCCCUUGGAUAGUAGGAAUGACAGUCAAGUGGAUUCUGCUUAAGCGGGAAUUAAGUCAGGAGAUGGGAGAUUGGCUGAUGCUGGCUGAUAUGCCGCAGGAGCACAACCUUCCCAAAGGUCAUUAACAUUGGCGACUACCAAACACACAUGGAGAGUGUUAUCACUAAGUGGAUAGGCUUUGUAAAAUACACUAUCUGAGGCUUCUUAUAGAUAAAGUACAAGGGGAAGAUGACUACGGUGUGGACCAUCUCCAUAGAAUGGAGGACGAGACCCUGCAACACCUCAUUUUCUUGGAAGUAUAUGGCUCCAUGAUAACACUCAUGAUCAUCAUUUGGAAAUGUCGGGGACUUAGUUGGGGAGUCGACUCAAAUAAAGGGUGCAGCUCAAGUCCCACAUCCGCGAGAUCAGCUUAGAAGGAGGCAUCAACAUCUUAUGUUUACAGGAGCACAAAAUGACCGAGGUGUAAGGAACCAACUCCUUGAGGUGUUGUAGGCUAAAGGAUCCUCGAAGGCACGACUGAAAUGAUAAAGAUUUCAUUGGAUGGGACUGAGUCUAAAAUCGAGUCCAAGACCAACUUUGAGAUCGAGUCCGAGAUAGAGUCUGGGAUCGAGUCUAAGGCUGACUCUAAGACCGAGUUUGAGAUUCGAGAUCAGGUCUGAGAUUGAGUCCAAGGUAGGGUCCGAAAUAGAGUUCGAGAUCGGGUCUGAAAUCAAGUUUAAGACCAAGUCCAAGGUCGGGUCCGAGAUGAAGUCCAAGAUCAAGUCUGAGACCGAGUCCGAAUACUAAUACAUGUCGUGGGGUGAAAGCCUAGUGUCUCCCAAGAGGGGGGGGUGGUUGCAAAGGGUUCCAAAAGUAUAGUAGGGAUAGUGAGGUCUAGGAACUAGUCUUGAAGGAGCUCUCUAGUGGUUCUUCCAAAUUGACUGGGCUCAAAGCGUCUCCAAUCAAGUUGUGAAAGGCAUGGGUCAUAAAGUGCUGAAAAGUAGCUCCAGCAUUACACAAGCCAAACAAUAGGACGUAGAAACAAAGACGUGCCAAGGUGUUCUAAAGGCCAUAAAAUCUCAAUGAUUGGGAUGAAUGAAGAUCUGGUUAUACCCUAAAAAACCAUCCAUAAAAGAGUAGUAACGAUGUCCAGCCAUCUCAUCCACAAUCGCAUCAAUAAAUGGAGUCGGAAAGUGAUCUUUUGCAGUUACCUUGUUCAAGUCUCAAAAGUCAACAUAGAGGUGGAGCUUUUCAUUUGCCAGGACAAGGUUGGCCACCCACUCUGAGUUCUCCAAAGGGUAAAUAAAGCUGGAUGCCAGAAGUCGCUCGAUCUCCAACUUCAUCUCCAAGUGAGCUGCUGGGCUUAAAUGCCAGAUAUUUUGACGGGCUGACUCUAAAAGCAUAAUACUAUGCAUGAUUGUGUCCAUGGCUGUAGUCCUAAGCAAACAUGUCCUUGAAAUAGUGAAGGAUAUCCAAGAGCUUUGCCACAUCUACUUAAGUGAUGUGGUAAUAAAGACCAGGUCCUUGUCAUCAUUGAGGAAAAUGAAUAAAGAGAGUGAGGUUGAGAGAUGUCCACCACUGUCUAACUCACCUCCAACAAUAUUAAUCACAUUGCAUGAGAAAGCAUCCUUCACAUAAAUGGUUGACUCCAUUGCCAACUCAAGGAAAAUCUCUAUGAGCUCAGGAGGAAAGUGUGGUGUGGAGAUUGUUUUAGCCUGAGCCUUCUAGGCGUGCUAAGAAAGAGCUUUGCCAUGGUUGUUGAGAAAGGUGGUGCUAUGGAUUCCAUCAUUAAUUUCCAUCUUACCUUCUGUGUUGUUGAUGGUGCAAUGGGCUACAACUUGCCACAAGAGGCCAAAGAUGAUAGAUUCCUUCAAAGAGGAUGUUCCAAGACACUGGUAGUCAACCACAAGGAAAUUUACCUCGGAAAUAACACCUUGCACUGAGACCUUGACACUAUGAGACACAAAUCCCUAAGCCCUAAAGUAGAGUUGAAAGGGUGCCACAUGGUAGUGGUUGAAGUGAAAGUCUAAUAAGCAUAACGUGUUUGGACUAAAGGCUUCGACAUGGAAAGUCGAGAGUGGGAGUGAACUCCGAACAAAGUGUNNNNNNNNNNNNNNNNNNNNNNNNNNNNNNNNNNNNNNNNNNNNNNNNNNNNNNNNNNNNNNNNNNNNNNNNNNNNNNNNNNNNNNNNNNNNNNNNNNNNNNNNNNNNNNNNNNNNNNNNNNNNNNNNNNNNNNNNNNNNNNNNNNNNNNNNNNNNNNNNNNNNNNNNNNNNNNNNNNNNNNNNNNNNNNNNNNNNNNNNNNNNNNNNNNNNNNNNNNNNNNNNNNNNNNNNNNNNNNNNNNNNNNNNNNNNNNNNNNNNNNNNNNNNNNNNNNNNNNNNNNNNNNNNNNNNNNNNNNNNNNNNNNNNNNNNNNNNNNNNNNNNNNNNNNNNNNNNNNNNNNNNNNNNNNNNNNNNNNNNNNNNNNNNNNNNNNNNNNNNNNNNNNNNNNNNNNNNNNNNNNNNNNNNNNNNNNNNNNNNNNNNNNNNNNNNNNNNNNNNNNNNNNNNNNNNNNNNNNNNNNNNNNNNNNNNNNNNNNNNNNNNNNNNNNNNNNNNNNNNNNNNNNNNNNNNNNNNNNNNNNNNNNNNNNNNNNNNNNNNNNNNNNNNNNNNNNNNNNNNNNNNNNNNNNNNNNNNNNNNNNNNNNNNNNNNNNNNNNNNCGUCGGCGUCAGCUUGACACAUGGCAAGUGUUCAGAACAAAGUCUAAGAAGGAGUCCGAGAUAGAGUUCAAGAAGGAGUCCAAAAUGGAGUCCAAGAUGGAGUUUGAGGAGUUUGAGAAGCAGUUUGAGAAGGAGUUUGAGAUAAAGUCCGAGAUGGAGUUUGAGAUGGACCCAAGAUGGAGUUCAAGAUGGAGUUUGAGAUGGACCCAAGAUGGAGUUCAAGAUGGACUUAAGAUGGAGUUUGAGAUAGACUUGAGAUGGAGUCUAAGGUCGAGUUUAAGAUGGAUCUAAGAUGGAGUCCGAAGUCAAGACUGAAAUCGAGAGUGAGGUUGAGACCGAGACCGAGACUGAAUACGAGUAUGAGUCUAUGUCCAAGUCUAAAUCCAAGGGUGAAAGCCCAAAGCAUUCAUCUCCCAAACCCAAGGGGGUUUGGUGAGCUGUUCAAGAGUCAGCUGUAGCUCCCUCGGGAGAUCGAAUGAUCAAUACUUCCAAUCCAAGUGUGGGUGGCAUUACUUACCUGGAUACCUAGCAUGGCUCAUCGGAACCUCACUUUAGCCACAUAGCUAGGGCACCUAAAGGUGGAAGGUGGAAAGAGUACCCACGAGGCUCACGUAGAGCUAUGGUGUUUCAAAAUGUCGUCCCAAAGUCCCAAACUAUGGAAAGGAAGAAGAGCAGUCCUUUAGUGUAGUGAUGAAAGAUACAGUCACAUAGUAAGGAAGUCCCAAAGGAUAGUAGGACUUAAUGGUCAGGCCCUUGGGCCUGAACCCAAUGGCAGUGUUGGUGAGUCCGGUCAUUGAUGAAAAGGGACUUGGUGGGGAUAAAAAAAGGGACAUUAUGGAAUGGUGUUCCCUAUGUCUCUGGGCAUCUUAAGGGUGCUAAGGUGUAGUCAAGCGAUGACCACUCAUGGAUGGAUGGCCCAGUUUUUGAGAGACAAAACUAUGAUAUAGGUGGUCUUGGACUACCGAUGUGAUAAGGGUGUGAGCAUGGCUUUAGCAUAAUAGGCUGAUUUGUCAGUGGUACCUUUGGGUGUCGGUCAUAUGAUUGGACACGUGGAACACUUGGACCAAGUGCAAAGGCUAAGUGGUAUAGAUGCCAUUCACGAGGCUAGCAUGUCCCCAAGGAGUCCUUACGUCACAAAAGAAAGUGGAGUAUUAAGCAUGUCUCACUAGAGUAUAAUGGCAUUAAAGAUGUGUGGUUUGGAAAAGGAGUUCAACCUCUAAUUGUUAUGCUCUUUCCUACAUCUUUGAAGCUGGCUUGGAAAAACACUUUUAAGAUAUUUUCUGUUUGUUCAUAAGUUGGGGGACCAAGGCAUAUGUGGGGUAGAAGCAAUAGUAUGGGAUAUACUUGAUGAGUUUUCCAAUGUUUUUCCAUCUGAACUUCCAUUACGAAGUAUGGAGCAUGGGAUUACAUUAGAGCUAGAGAUGUGGCCAAUUUGUUGGCAUCUAUUUCAAUUGAGUUAUGUAGAGGAGCAAGAAGUUCAACGAUAAAUUAAAGAGUUACUUAAGUUUAGAUUUAUUCAGCUAAGUAAAUCUUUGUUUGGUGCUCUGGUCUUGCUUGUGAAGAAGAAGGACAACUCAAUGCAGAUAUGUAUUGACUAUUGUGCCUUGAACAAGAAGAUAGUAAAGAAUAAAAUGCCAAUGCCGCAUGUGGAUGAUAUCCUAAACAAGCUUGGUGAAGCACGAGUGUUUACCAAGAUUGAUUUGAGGAAUGAAUAUCAUCAAAUUGCAAUGGAUGAUGCAUCUAUCUCCAAGAUGGCAUUCAACACGAGCUUCAUGAAUUUUGAGUUUAGAGUUAUGUUGUUUGGUUUGACAAAUGUACUAGCCACAUUUACUCAGUUGAUGACAGAGAUAUUUAGGUGUUAUCUUCAUAAGUUUGUGGAGAUUUUCUUGGAUGAUAUUCUUGUUUUCAGCAAGAAUAUAGAGGAGUAUAAAGUGCAUUUAUGCAAGGUUCUUUUGUUACUAUGUGAUAGCAAACUUUAUGUGAAGAAAAGCAAAUAUAAAUUUGCAAAGUUGAAGGUGGAAUAUCUAGGCUAUAUUGUGACAUCUAAGUUGUUAAAACAAAUCCAAGGAAGGUGACUGUGGUGGAAAAUUGGCCUACACUAACUUCAAUAACCGAGUUAUGCACCUUCAUUGGUAUGGCUAGUUAUUACCGAUGUUUCCAGCACAAGUUUGCGGAGGUGGCUAUUUCAUUGAUACGGUUAUUGUGUAAAAAUGUGCUAUUUAAGUGGAAGAAGACACAUGAGAAGAGUUUUGUGGCAUUGAAACAAUUGUUGAGUGAGGCUUUAGUGCUUCACAUUGUUAAUCUAUCAAAACUUUACAAGGUGACAUAUGAUGUAAGUGGUUAUGCACUAAGAGGAGUCCUCAUGUAAAAGGGAUAAUCUGUUGCAUCUGGGAGUUGAAUUUUGAAUCCCACGAAGCAAUGUUUUUCCACAUAUGAGUAAGAGUUACUCUCUAUUGUUCAUACUUUGCAGACAUAGCAGCAUUAUUUUUAUAGUGCAAUAUUCAUGGUGUUGAUAGAUCAUAAACCUCUUGUGUUUCACACAAAAGGAGUUGAACAUUAGGCAAGUUCUUUGGAUGGUCAAACUCAUGGAGUUUGGCAAACUUUCUAUUGAGCAUCAUCCAGGAAAAUUAAAUGUGGUGGUAGAUGUUUUAUUUCGUGUUUUUUAUGUGAUGGCGUUAUAAACAUGGUUUUGUUAUCAUUUGAGUAAGGUGGUCAGCAAGUUUGGGCAGUGAGUGUGCUUAGGCUCAAGAUGCUAAGGUGGUCUCUUUGCGAACCCAUAUGGAAGCACCUUUUUCAUUGGUGGAUGGGAUUCUUUAUUAUAGUAGCCGUAUAUAUUUACUACGGGUGGAUGCAUUAAUUCCUCAAAUUUUAUUCCACUAUCAUGAUUGCCUAGAAACUAGUCAUUUUGGGGGAAGACAUAUGAGUUGAUUAAGUGCAAUUUUUAUUGGAGGAAUAUAAAGCUAAUAUCCCUGACUAUAGUAAAUCAUAGGAGCUUUGUUAGUGAGUAAAGGUGCCACAGGAGAAGCCAAGGGGAUUUUUGCAACUUUUACCUAUUCUUUAGAGCCAUUGGUAUAGUAUCUUUAUGGACUUCAUCACUUGUUUAUCAUGAACACAAAGGCAAAAGGAGCAAGUAUGGGUGAUAGUUGAUCAUUUAACAAAGUAUAUACGGUUGUUAGCUCUUCAAAAGACUAUCACUGCCUCAGACUUAGCUACAGUCUACUUGGAGAAGGUUUUUCUUGAUUUUAAUUUACUAAAAGACAUCAUUAGUGAUCAAGAUUCAAAGUUCACUAGUGGAUUUUGGAAGAGCUUUGCAAAGGCUAUGCAAGUGACUUUCAAACUCUUGAGUGGAAAUCAUCCUUAGACAGAUAAGCAAAUCGAGUGUGUGAAUCAGGUGGUGGAGGAUAUACUACAUUGUAUCAUUGGUCAAAAGUAGGGAUAGUGGGAUCUCUAUCUUCUGUUGGUGCAAUUUGUCUACAACAAUAACUAACACAAUGAAACCAAGUUAAAUCUUUACUUUGCCAUGUUUAAAAGGCAUCCCCGAAUAGCGGUGGAGUUGGGAUGGCAUUUGAGUAAGGAUGUUCAAGAUAAACUUGAUUCUGAGGUGACUGAUCUGGCCACAGAACUUAAUGAGAUUCUUGUGGUAUGCAAAUAGAAUUUGCAGGCAGCUGUCGCAAAUAUGACUUCAGGUAUCAAAAGAUACUUGUCGGCCAAUCCUUAUAGACACUAUUUCCUUACUACGAUGACGGCAAGAGAUCAAUACUAUUGGUUCCUUUCAUUAGCCCCUUUUGUUUAAGUGUUGGUAAAUUGGGCUUAACAUCUAUACUUAACCAAAUAAAUAUAAGGUAGAAACUCCUAUAUGUUUCUAGUUAAGCAUUCUCAGCCUAGUUUUAAUUCUUUUUUGCUUUGUCUUACAUUGGCUUGCCCUUGUGUAUUGAGACUAAUCCCUCAAUAUUGCCAAAUGAUAACUUACCGUAUUUGCCAAACACCUUCGCUAUCAUGCCUUUUGUGUUAGUCUCAUUCCGGUCCUAAAUGCUAUUUAUAGAAAGUGUCUAAAUCAGCUCAUUUGGCAUAUUUACGGAAUGUAGAGAUUGACUUAAACAUAAUGGUGUUGAUCUUAUGUCAAAAUUCCAUAUUUUGUAAGUUUCAAGCUUGUUUCAAAUGCUAACUCCUAGUACUAAGGGUGGCUAAGGGUGAAAGCCCAAAGCAUGUGUUCCUCAAAGGAGGGGGAGGGAGUUCUAAAUGUAUAGUAGGGAUAAUAGUUGGUAUGUAAAUCUAACCACUUGAGACAUUAGUUUAGCUUCUACUAGGCUAUGUCGCUCCUUGUUUUGCAUCCAGCUUGGGUCUAAGCCCAAGCUUCACAUUACUUUAGUAGGUGGAGUACCCUCCUCCUCAUGUUAAGCUAUUAGUAUGCCAAAAUCAUGCCAGACAUUGUUUGACACCAUUUUGCAUGUAGGUGCUAAAUAUAGAGAGCUAGUGCUCAUGAGAUUGUAUUAGACCCUCGUUUUUGUAAGCUCCUAAAUUUAGAAUUCCUGGGAGGUCACCAACCCAAUACUAUUCAAACCCAAUGACGCUUAAUCCCAAAUAUCCCAAAACCCUUAACCGAUUGGAAUAAGGGGUGCACUCUUGUUCAUGGGCCAUUUCCCUCUAUAUUUGAACCCCUAUGGAUUGUCUCUCGAGUCGUUCCCUUUGGUUGCUUACAAUCCACCAUGCUUCUUACAAAUUCAUGCCCUCAUGAACGGAAAUUAAGAGCCCCUCUUUCUUGAUACCCUACCCCUCGGGUCGAGCCCAAUAAGAGCAAACUAGACCUACCAAAUGUCAAUCAAUAUGUGGUGUGAUUCCCCUAGCCAACCAACAAAGUUGGACUCAAGACCUCUUUGAUACCAAAUAUAAGCUCUUGAAUUUGAACUUCCCGGGAGGUCACCCAGCACAGUACUAUUCAAACCCAAGGACGUUUAACCCCAACUAUCCCAAAAUCCUUAAUCGAUUGGAAAACAGGGUGCACUCUUAUUCGUGGGCCCUUUCCCUCUAUAUUUGAACCCCUAUAGAUCAUCUCUCGAGUCAUUCCCUUUAAUUGCUUACAGUUUCAUAAUGUAAUAAGUUUGGAGUUCGGCUCCAAAUUCAUGUGUGCUACAUUUAGUAUUAGAGAAAUUGUCUUAGUGAUUCCUAUCCAAUUUUUGUCAAAAAUUCUAACUCAAGUUGCAUAUGCAGAGACUUUUCUAGUAGAUCCAAAGUGACCUAUGUAGGAUUAAUUGGAUUGCACCAUCCGGUAAGAAUAUUGUAUGCAUGUUCAGUUACUGAUAGAAGUAUGCAUGCAACUAAUGAAAUGGUGAAAAGGAAUUGUGUUGAUGACACUGAAACCUCUAGAUAGACAAAUCAAGAGGAGGAAACUCCUACUAGAGAUGUUGCAAAAGAGGCAAAGGCUGAAUUAGAGGAUGAAAGGCCUAAUGUUGUGGCACUACAAUGUACAUCUCAAAAAGUUGAGAUCAAGAUUUUGCGAAAGGAAGUUCGUAAAUUGAAGAAGGUGAACAAGAAGAGGAAAAAGAAGCUAAAAUAUCUAAACUAGCUAAACCUAAGCAACCAAACUUCUUUUCAAGUUCUAAAGAUGAUGAAGUUUUACAACUGCCCCCGAUUGCAUGAAUUUAAAAGUUCAAGCCUCUGAAACCACCCAAUUUCAUAGGCAUGCAAGACUAUAAGGUUUUGGAAGAUUGGGUCUUCCAAAAGACAUAGAUGAUUGUAUAAAAGUUGUGUAUGCGCAAUCCUUUCUGAUAGAUCAUGCCAAAACUUGGUGGUGCCAAGUGUUUGCUGAAAAAGGGCAGACUAGAAGUUGGACCAAGAUGCAAUCUCGUAUCCGUAAGGAAUACUUGUCAAAUGAUCUUGGUCUAAGACUUCGUGCAGAGCUACGGUAGUUAAGGCAAUGAGGGGACCUUAUGUAUUACGUUAAUGUGUUUGCUCAAAAGCACAUCAUGAUUGCAAAUAUGAGUGACAAAGAUGCUCAAAGUUAUUUCUUGGAAGGGUUAAGUUCACUUUCUAGCAAUGAGAUUUUGAAGUUUAAACUAAAGAUAUACCUAAAGUGUAAAGAGGUAGCACAGCAAGUCGCCUUCAAUCACUCGCUCAUGAAACAAUAUCAACAAUCGUAUGCUGGUCCCUCAUACAAGAAUAAGAACUUCAAGAAUAAAUAAGAUGAUCGGAAACAAAGGGUGGAAGGAAGGUUUUGCCCUGGAUACUCACAAGCAAUAGUUAACAAAGGUGGUGGUGGUUAGCAACCACCAACAACUUCUUCUAGUCCUAGGCACUCUAUUCCUUCUCCUGAUGGGUACAGUCAACAUCAAUCUAUGAAACCUGCUCCUAGCAGAACAGGUAGUGUGGGUCAUUGCUUCUAUUGUGGAGAAACAAGAUAUAGGUCCUUGGAAUAUCCCAACAAACAUAAAAUAAGGUAUCAUGUUAAUAUCAUAAGGGAAAACGGUGGUGGUGAAACUGAAGGGGUUAAUGCAAACUAUAAGGAAGAGGAGGUGAGUUAUUUUUGUUACUUUCCUUAAGUUUUUCUCGUAGUAAAUGCAAACAUUGAUCCAUUAAUAUAUUUGAUAAGCUUUGUCUGUGGACACCGAAUCUGAGUGAUAAUUGACAUAGGAGCUACACACAAUAUGAUAUCCAAAGACUUAGUUAAGUUGUUAGAAUUGAAUGUUAAGCAGAUGUCACUUAUACACUUCCAAUUUGCGAAAGGUGGGCAAGUAGCUAGAAAAUUUGUGAGUGAUGUUCCAAUAAAAAUAUUCAAGUGGAAAAAAAGAGUGGACUUGGUAGUGUUGAAGAUACCAAAUUUUCAGAUAGUGUUUAGUAUGGAUUUCUUCAAAAAACUUAUAAAAGGGAUUUAUGGUGCUGGACAAAAUUGCAUCAUAUUGAGGUCGGUAGGAUGUCUUGUUAUGUCCUUCCAGCUGCAAAAGCAAGAUGCUAAGUUCUUGAUUGCGAUGUAAGCCACAAAUUUUUUCUUUCCAAUUUGCCAGCUUACCUCAUCUAUCCGUCCAACACUGCCUUGGCUUUUGCUAAGUUCCCUCGCCAAGGUUCCCGCCUAUGGUACCAGCUCUUACCUGGUCUUACUUGGUUUCAGCUACUCACUACACGAGCAACGAAGUGUUAGCCAUCCAUCCACGAAUUCCCAAAUCUCUCCCAAUCCCCCUCCCCGGGUUAGACUGGACUUAAGGUUCAGCUACACUCCCCACAAGCACAAGUAGCCAAGCAUACCAAGUUUCCAGGUUCCUAACAUUCCAUGGUACCACAAGACUUGAUCAUGGGACCCUCUAAAUCCCAAGUCUCGGGUGCAACACUUGCUUCGGGACGCCGAGGCGAAAUAUCGUGGCCUAACGGCCCGGUAUGGGUACCUCUACCCCCCCACUUCCAUCCCGAAGGGAAGGUCCAAGCCCCUAGGAAGGGCGAGGACCAAUGAGCCGCACGGUACUCAAGUAGGGCACCACUCUACAUGAGCCGGGAGCACCGCAGUCGGUUUCCCUUUUGGGAGUGGGAGCUGCUCUUGAACACUUCCUUGGAUGGCCCCUCCAGCACCAACCAAGUCCAUGCUCACUCCCACCCAAGGCCCCUCGGUCCUAGUCCCAACCUCAAGUCAGUUUGGAAGCCCUACUGGAGAGUUCCCUCAAAAUUGGUUCCUAGACCUCACUAUCCCUACUAUACUUUUGGAACCCCCUACAGCCCCCCCUCCCCUGGGGGACGCACGCUUUGGGCUUUCACCCCUUGACCCGUAUUAGUACUCAGACUUAGUCUCUGGCUCGAUCUCGGAUCCGACUUCGGAUUCGGUCUUGGACUCGAUCUCGGACUCGAUCUUGGACCCGAUCUCGGACUCGACCUCGGACUUGACCUCGGACUCGGUCUCGGACCCGAUUUCGGAUCUCGGACUCCGUCUCGAACUCGGUUUCGAACUCGGUUUCGAACUCGGUUUCGAACUCGGUCUUAGAGUCGGUCUUGGACUCGAUCUUAGACUUGGUCCCAUCCGAUGAACUCUUUAUCAUUUUGGUCAUGCUUUCGGGGCUUCUUUAGCCUACGACACCUCGGCGAGUUGGUUCCUUACAUGCGAGAGCCGCUCAAAAUGCAGCUAAGAAGGGAUGUUAGACAUUUUGGGUUCAAGUGAUGGAAGUUAAGGGUCUUAGUGACUCAGUACAAAUUGGUGAUAGGGUUAAUCUUGUACCAAAGGAGAUAUUGGAGUUGUUGGUAAGGAAUCAGGAUAUCUUUCCAAAGGAUUUGCCACUAGCGCUACCUCCUAGCCAUGAGGUUGAUCAUUGGAUUGAGGUUGUUCUGGGUUCUAAACCACCUACAAAAACUCAAUAUCAUCUAAAAAUUUUUUAGAUGGCUGAACUCAAGAAUUUACUUAUAGAGCUUCUUGACAAAGGUUAUGUUUGACCAAGCAAGUCACCUUAUGGAGUUCUAGUCUAUUUUAUUAUGAAAAAGGAUGGUACUAUGAGGAUGUGUAUUGAUUAUCGAGCUCUUAACAAGAUUAUGGUAAAAAAUAAUUAUCCUUUGCCUCAUAUGGAUGACUUAUUUGACCAACUCUUAAAGGUUAAAUACUUUAUGUGGCUUGAUUUGCGGUUUGCAUAUCACUAGAUAUGGGUGGCAGAUCAAAAUGUGCAAAAGACAGCCUUUCAGACUUAGUACAAGUCCUAUGAAUUCCUUGUCAUGCCGUUUGGGUUAUGCAAUGCUACGGCAACAUUCAGCAAAGGACUUCCACACCAUGUGACCAUAACCUUGGUCACUACACCAGAGGACUACCCUUCCUCCUUUCCACAGUUUAGAAUUUUGGGACAACAUUUCGGAACACCGUGGCCCUAUGUGAGCCUCAUGAAUACUCUCCCUGCCUUCCGCCUUUGGGUGCUCUAGCCAUGGGCUUAGAGCGAGGUUCCGUUAAGCCAUGCUAGGUAUCCAAGUAGGUAGUGCUACCCAUGCUUGGACUGGAAGCAUUGACCAUUUGAUCUCCCAGGGGAACUAGACCCAGCUCUUAAACACUUCACCAAACUACCUCACUUGUCAGUCCAUAUUCACUCUAGCCUUGGACCUCCCAGUGGUUAUCUCAUCACCCCGCACCUGGGUACAACCUUCCUGGGUCAAACUGUCCUUUCUUACCUAAACUGGCUCCACUAGGGUCCAACCCCCACACUCUCCCUACUAUACUUUUGGAACCCCCUACAGCCCCCCCCCCCCCCCCCCCCCGCCACUCUGGAGGAUGAUCGCUUUGGGCUUUCACCCAACAGGCUAUAUUAGUAUUUGGACUCGGACUCAGACUAGAACUUAGACUCAGACUCAAUCUCAGUCUUGACUUUGGACUCGGACUCGGUCUUGGUCUUGGUCUCGGUCUCGGUUCCAUCUCGAACUCCAUCUCAGACUCAUCUCAGAUUUAUCUCGGACUCCAUCUCUGUCGCGCAUAUGACUUCGGGUAUCGAAAGUUACCUGUCGACUAGUCCUUACGGACACUCUUACCUUACUGCCACGAUGGCAGGAGGUCGGUAUUGCUGGGCCCGUUAUCAGUCUCCGCCUAAGCUAGUUGAGAAACUGGUCAUCACAUGUGCACUUAGACCGGAAGGGCACUAAGGAAGGAAAUCCUAAGUUGUCAUUUAGUCAAGCAGACUUGACACGGUGAUGAGAAACUCAUGAUGUUGGCUUGCACUUACUAGUGUUAGGAACCCCCGCGAUAUUGAGCUUGGUCUCAAUAUUGCUAAAUGAUAGCUUACCGUGUCUGCCAAACACCCUCGCUAUUAUGCCCUUUGUGUUAGUCUCGUUUCGGUCCCAAAUGCUAUUUAUGGAAAGUGUCCAGAUUUGCUCAUUUGGCAUAUCUACGGAAUGUAGAGAUCGUCCUGAACACAAUGGUGUUCGUCCCGUGUCCAAAUUCGCAAUCUAGGGACAUUCCAUAUUUAGUAAGUUUCGAGCUUGUCCCAGAGACUAACUCCUGAUACUAAGGGAGGCUUGGGGUGAAAGCCCAAAGCGUGUGUUCCUCAAGGGGGGGGGGGCUGUGGGGGGUUCCAAAUGUAUAGUAGGGAUAGUGGGUAGGUCGGGCAUGGCUGACCAACCUGAGGCAUAGUCUAGCUCCCGCUUGCGUGCCUGUCCUUGUUCUGCGUCCAGCUUGGGUCUAAGCCCAAGUUCCAUUCCAUGCUAGUUGGUGGAGUACCCAUAUCCUCACGUUAGGCCACCGGUAUGCCGAAAUAGCGCCAGACUCCGUUUGGCUCCAUUUUGCGUGCUGGUUCUAGCAUUGGGAUGCUAGUUGCUCCAGGACUGUUCCAAGUCGCUCCGGGCUCCUGUCCCUUCGCUCCUUGGGCUUUAUGCUCGGGAGUUGCUCCGUGGUUCGGUUCCGUCACUCUUUGGCUCCAUGCUUGGGAGUUUGGCACCGUUCCUUCGUUUAGUGGCCCAAGGCCCUGAACCUCAGGUUCCUAUGGACACGUGGCAUGUGACAAGUGGCAUCUGUCACGUGGCACAAAGAGGGUUUAGGUUCCACUUUGUGGUGUUAUCGUAUGGUAAAUCACCAUAGGAUAAAGGGUCAAAACCACGUGCGCUACAUUUGGUAUCAGAGGAUGAGUCUGGGCGAGUACUAUCCAAUGAGAUUGGGCAACUAGUCUCGUUGCAUACGCAGAGAUGAAGACGAUGAUCCGAGUGGGUACACGUUUGGUGCAAAGGGUUCACAUUCGUUCCUUGGGUAUGGUUUUGGUUACCUUUUGUACCAUAUUCUGUGAGCUUGAGCUUGGGCUCAUAAAAGGGAUUGAGUUGUUCUGGUUACACGAGUUUACGCUUGGGCUCGUGAGUGAGGCACAUUAGCAACUUAAGGUUACACUUUGAGUUGGCAGGGUUAAUGUUAGCCUAUCGGUGGUUCCAUAAGUUGUUCCAUGUACCGUGGGUAAAAGCAAACCUUCCCUAAGUUUGCUAUGAGUGGCAAAUAGGCUGGUCCGUAGCUAUUUAGCAUGGCACUAGUAGAUCCUUCCUAGGCAUGAUUACAAGUGGAUCAAUCAAGACUGUAGGGAUUAGUCUAUUGGUUCAAGUAAUCAUUGCCGUGCUCUCUCAUAAACUUUUCUUGGAUUGGACUGAAGGCAGUGCAAACGCAAGCUUGAGGUUUAGUCAAAGAUGAGACCGAAAAGAGAGUCGUCGGGGACGAAGGAUCAAACACGUAAAUCAUUUUCUUUUCUUGAGGAAAUGAUUCGCAAUGAGGUGUUAACUCAUUGCUCGUGUUGACAUCAUGCAAUCAAGAGUCAUUACCUUGAUGCAUUUUGGAGAUGAUGGUCUUACAAAUGGUGAGUUAUGGGAUGGAUAGCAGUGAAGUGCUAUAUCAUUUUGUCUAGGCUUGCUAUUGGAAGACUUGAGUUGCAAUGCUCAAUUCUUUUCCGGGGAACCUUGCUAUUGCUCCUUGAGUAGCUUGGUAUUGGGUUAAGUUUUGAGUUUGGUCGAAAAGCGAGUGGCAUGAGCUUGUCCAUGUUGUGAACAAAAGUUGGUGGUGUUCAGUGUUGUAAAUCUCUAUUGGUGGAGUGUGGCAUUUAUGUUGCAUUUUGUCGAAUUGAGUUGGCACUUGAUGCUCACAUAAACCUUUGAAGUAAUGACAUGGGUGUUGUUCGUGGUGUUGCUCAAUUGAUGAUCAAAUCAUUGUGAUUUUGUAUCAUAUCCAUGUGAUAAUGAGCAAUGUGUUUACGAAGUUGCUUGGUUAAAUGAUGAUCAACCCCAAAGUGGUUGAUGGUGAAGCUAGUCUACUUGCACGAAGUAGCAUUGUAUUAGCUUUGACUGGAUUCUCAAUGGUGGUCCAUUAUGCUAAGCUUAAGUUGGUUCCUUUUUUCCUUGAGUUUGCCCACUAAGGUGUUGGAAAAGGGUUGUAGCAUUCACUUGCUAUGGCUUGUCAGUUGGCCCGUUAACACUUGGAGUAAGUUAUUGGAUGGAGAAAGUGUGUAGUUGAGGCAUUGACAUUGCUAGCACUUGUGUUAGUGGAAGUGGCAUUGUUAUUUCAAGUGAUGAGGAUUUUCCUUAGAACUUGAUUUUCCAUGUCAUUUUUCUUGUUAGUGUUUUAGCUUCACAUUGGAUCUUGAAGGUGGUUGAAGAAGAGUGUUAGUGCAAUAUGGAUAUCCGAAGAUGUGGUCUUCGUGAUCAAGCCUUGGAUGUUCCAUUUGCAUUUUACGGAUGUCGGAGUUGGAUGUCGGAAGUAUGGGUAAAAAAAAAAAAAAGAUGUUCGAGGCUUAAGCAUACUAUGGGUCAUGAGAAUUUGUGUUGAGGUGAACCUAUGUGAAGUUGUUAGUAGGAGGAAGUUGGUUGAGUCUUGAAAGUUUGUAUUCCUGGACUGAGAGUCAUUCUUUCUCUAGGAUGGAAAUUUUCCACAAAUUUUCUUAGACUUUUUCAAUGGCUGAUCUGUUAUCACUUUGUUCGAAAACCAUUCCGUUUUCAUAAGCCAAUACAAACUAGUGAAGGGGUUGGAGUUGACUUCGGUUAGCUUAGACCUUAGUAGAUAGUUUGUAUGAUGCGGCCCGAAAGGGAUACUAACUUUUGGGGCUAAGGCAAUUGAGUUGGAUAGAGUCUGGAGUUAAUGUAGAAAAGUGGCCGUUGCACUUUUCUAGAAAGGUGACCCUUGUGCCUUUCUUUUGUAGCGUUAUGCUUGGUGGCAAGUUGCACUUUGCAUUUCGUUAGACUCUAUGAGAGUAAUGAGCUCUCACUGAUCUUGACUUGGUCUUGGUGACCCUGCACCUUGGCUAAGGAUGGUGAUGUUCAACUUAGUUGUUUGAGUUUGAGAUGUUAGUACUCAUAUUAUAGCUUUGUCUAUGAGGAGGUUGUGUACCGAUAUGAGUUCAUCUCAUGGUCUUCACUUUAGUUUCGACUGAGUGUUGAUCAUGUAUAGCUAGCCUCUUCAAGGCAUGCUCAGAGCUGUUGGCUAAGUGCAUUAGUGAGCUUAUUGCGGUUGAGUUGGAUUCGAGUGGUCAUUUAGUUUGUGCUUGUCAAUGAACUUUUAUCUCAUACCGAAGGUAUCAGGUUCAUGUUAGACAAGUAUAUGACUCGAUGACACAAGUUUAGUGUUUGGGUCUUUUGAAAGGCAAGACAAGUGAUUGUUGGUUGCUUUGCAACUAGUGAUUGUUUGUAAACUUUGUCAAGGGCUUUUGACACUUGCUUCACUCGAUGAUGAUUUAGCAGUGAUGGGCUUGCUUUACCGGAUGGUGUUGCGGAGGAUCAUGUUGUUAGACUUACAUGGGUUUCCUAUGUUGGUUUGUUGACUCUACCUCUCUCGAUAUCAUUUGGUUGCGUUUAGUUCGUGGUGUUGGAUUUCAUUGAGUCUUGGACGUGGUGAUUCACUCCUUGAGGAAGUGUUAUCUGUAACUGAGUUUUGCUAAAGGAUUGGUCUCGGAUACUAACUAAAAGUAUCUUCGACCUUGGUUAGCUUGGUUGCUAGAGAGCUUUGAGUGGUGAUACACUCGUGCUUUCUUCUAGCUUUGUUCUAGUGUUGGUGGCAUUGAAGUGAUGCCUUGUCGUUGACAUUGUUGAUGUUGAAAUUUUAGUGAAAUGAGAUGUUUCUCUACAAGAUUGAUACCGAGUUUCAUUAGUUUUGAUGAAGAUAGUGUUGAUGAUUUGGCUAUAGCUUUGUGUUAUUGGCAUUUGUGCAUGUGCUGGUUAGCAACUGUAUUGACGUUCAAGUGAACUGAGUGGCAAGUUGAGUUAGUUGUGUUCUAGACGAGAUUAUUUAGUAGGGGUUAAGUUUUGGCUUUUCCUUGAAAAGUGAUUCAAUCGUGGACUAUACUAACUCUACAAGCGGAAGAGUUAGUGAUUGAUAUUGGAAGGUUUGAAUCUUUAUUGGAUUUGAGUUGGAAUAUAUCGAUUAUUGAUGAUUCUUUUUGUGCUUGUUAUGAAGUGAGUUACGUUUUGCUAUAGAUGGAUUCAUGGAGGAUCGUUUGGUGAUCACUUGUUGAGCAUAGCUUCGUUAUGCUUAGCUUUUGGAUUAAUGCAGACAUACUCUUCAUUAGCUUUGCAUUAUGAAGUUUAGCUUAUAGAUGUGUUGAAGAGGAUAUUGUGGGUUGUACCAUGAUUUCUUCUUUAGCAUUGACGUUAGUCCAUGCGAGACUCGUGAUCAUUAUUAGGCAAGACUUGGCUAUAAACUUCUUCGAGCUUUUGGUUCUUUGAGUUUUCAUGCUCAUUGUUCCAUUUGUUAGGAGUUGUUGAGGGAAGGCAUUUUGGCUCAUUAGCUUCAAUGUUGACGUUAGUAUUUGCAUCUAGCAAUCAUUGGUGAUGAUUGACUAUCAUCUAAGAUAAUUGAUUAUCCUUGUCCAGGGUUUUGCUUGAUUAUUGUUGGUAUAGAAUGAUUUGCUGUUCUUCGGGAUAGUAGAUUUUUUCUUCAAUGAUGAUUAUGCAUUUCUCUAUUGAUAGGAUGAUUAAUGAUCUUUUAUGGUGGUUAGUUGUUCUCUUUGAUGGCUUGUGGCUUUUCGCAAUAUCAUAUGUUCUUUGUGAUUUGCUUUGGAUUGGUCUCUUGGGUUUGAGACAUCGAUAGGAUGUUGCUAACACUUACUUAGGCAACUUCAGUUCCUUGGUGUUGUUGGCUGGGAUCUAUUCGGAUUAACUAGCGUGAUAGUUGGCAUAAACGAGUGUUUGUUGGUCUUGCCACAUUCAUUCUGUUUUGUUGAUUGUUGCUCGAGUUAGUUCUUAUAGAUUGGGAUGUUAUUUCCUUUAGGUAAUACAUUCGCGAGCAUUUUGCUUGCUAGUCAAUGAUACUUUGUGUUCUUUGAGUUAUCUUUCGUAAGUUGUUUGGCAUUCUGUCUGCAAUCUUUAAUAGUUAAACUUUAUCAUUGAGUUUACUUGAUGAUAUACUUGCUAUUGAAUUUUGUUGAUGGUGAAUCCUAUGUUUACCAACUAUAAUGAUCAUGGUGGUUCCUACACUAUUAUACUGGUUUAUCGGAUGAUAACUUGCUUAGAAUAUUAUUAUGUUCUAAUCUAAGAUAUAAUCAUUGAUAAUUAAGUCUCUAAGAUAUCAUUGUCUCUGACUUUGAUAUUGUCCAUCUAUUAAUCUUUGAGUUUAGGCCAGUAUAGGCAGACUAGCUUCGGCACUUUGUGUGCAUGUUGAAAUCUCUAGUCAUGGGGUAGCUACUGUCGACUGGUCACAUAACCCGCCUCUUUGUCGAUGUUCCUUGUUCCGUUAAAAGGGCGUGACCGUGUAAACAACUCUAACUGCCUGUUUACAGUAGUCUAUCUAAACCUUACCGACGGGUUUGGUUUCUUUGCUUAGGAGGGUUGGGGCCUCUGGCUUCUCUCUCUAUGUUCCUGCGGGCAGGGGCAUAUCACACUUUUGUAAGCUGGGUGACUCCCAGAGCAGCAAGGGUGGCUGACUCCGUUGGUCAUUUCCUUGUCGGCGACGGCCGGAAGGUGUCUGAGCUGGUAGCGCAUCUGCGUUAGACAAAGAGGUUGCCUCCUAACUCAUUUAAGUUGGUGCAUUUCUCACAUAGUGUGAGUACCGUGAACUUUUUCUGGAGUUGUUUCCUUGGCGGUAUUCUAGACUCGAGUAUGCAUCGACGAGGACGUCGAUCUUCCCUAGGGGGGGAGAGUGUCGCACAUAUGACUUCGGGUAUCGAAAGUUACCUGUUGACUAGUCCUUACGGACACUCUUACCUUACUGCCACGAUGGCAAGAGGUCGGUAUUGCUGGGCCCGUUAUCAGUCUCUGCCUAAGCUAGUUGAGAAACUGGUCAUCACAUGUGCACUUAGACCGGAAGGGCACUAAGGAAGGAAAUCCUAAGUUGUCAUUUAGUCAAGCAGACUUGACACGGUGAUGAGAAACUCAUGAUGUUGGCUUGCACUUGCUAGUGUUAGGACCCCCGCGAUAUUGAGCUUGGUCCCUCAAUAUUGCUAGAUGAUAGCUUACCGUGUCUGCCAAACACCCUCGCUAUCAUGCCCUUUGUGUAGUCUCGUUUCGGUCCCAAAUGCUAUUUAUGGGAAGUGUCCGGAUUUGCUCAUUUUGCAUAUCUACGGAAUGGAGAGAUCGUCCUGAACNNNNNNNNNNNNNNNNNNNNNNNNNNNNNNNNNNNNNNNNNNNNNNNNNNNNNNNNNNNNNNNNNNNNNNNNNNNNNNNNNNNNNNNNNNNNNNNNNNNNNNNNNNNNNNNNNNNNNNNNNNNNNNNNNNNNNNNNNNNNNNNNNNNNNNNNNNNNNNNNNNNNNNNNNNNNNNNNNNNNNNNNNNNNNNNNNNNNNNNNNNNNNNNNNNNNNNNNNNNNNNNNNNNNNNNNNNNNNNNNNNNNNNNNNNNNNNNNNNNNNNNNNNNNNNNNNNNNNNNNNNNNNNNNNNNNNNNNNNNNNNNNNNNNNNNNNNNNNNNNNNNNNNNNNNNNNNNNNNNNNNNNNNNNNNNNNNNNNNNNNNNNNNNNNNNNNNNNNNNNNNNNNNNNNNNNNNNNNNNNNNNNNNNNNNNNNNNNNNNNNNNNNNNNGCUCCUGUCCCUUCGCUCCUUGGGCUUUAUGCUCGGGAGUUGCUCCGUGGUUCGGUUCCGUCACUCUUUGGCUCCAUGCUUGGGAGUUUGGCACCGUUCCUUCGUUUAGUGGCCCAAGGCCCUGAACCUCAGGUUCCUAUGGACACGUGGCAUGGACACGUGGCAUGUGACACGUGGCAUCUGUCACAUGGCACAAAGAGGGUUUAGGUUCCGCUUUGUGGUGUUAUCGUAUGGUAAAUCACCAUAGGAUAAAGGGUCAAAACCACGUGCGCUACAAUCUCGAAGUCCAUCUCGGGUCCAUCUCGGACACCAUCUCGGGUCUAUCUUAGACUCCAUCUCAGACUCCAUCUCGUGUCCAUCUCAGACUCCAUCUCUCUCAAACUCCUUCUUGGACUCAAUUUCGGACUCCAUCUCAAACUCCUUCUUGGACUUCAUCUGGGACACUUCCACGUGUUAUGUGUUGGUCCUUUUGUAUCGCUUUUUUAGAGGCUCACUUAUUGCUCACUUUGUGCUUGUUCUUCAAGCACUUCAUUGGGAGUUCCACUCCCUCUCUCGAUUUUUCGAAUCAAAGCCUUUAGUUUAUAUGUGUUACUUCAUUUGGAGUCUGCCUCAGCCACUACCAUGUGGCACCUUUUCGGCUCCUCUUUUGGGGCCUAGGGAUUUUAUGUCUCACACCAUUGCUAUAAAGAAUGAGGACUAGCUCUGCCGAACACAAUUGUAAAUGGUAACAUAUGGCAACAGACUAAGCAAUAAAAGAUAAACUCAAUUUUGUAUUAUCUAACAUAGAGAGAACAAUAGAAAACUUCUUAUUAUAAAAACAAGCUUGGAAAGUAAAAGCUAGAUGAAUUAGUGUCGAGUGAAGAUAGUAAUCCUGAAAGAAGGAUAGAGGGGUCAUUAACUUAAUCGUGUAAGAACCUUUCAUUACUCAUACGACUCCUCAUUUCCUAGAAAGAUCUCUAUAUUAAGACCUUCCAUUGCAAUAGCACUAAUAUGACAUUAUUUACACCAAGACCUCCACCCAUAAAAUAGAGGACAUCAAUCUAAAAAAUACUGACAACAUUGAUAUAUAUGGCUAACCUUAUCACAUGCCCAUCACUGAACAUCAUGACCAUGACCACACCCUAUCCUUAAACAUGGGUUGCAAUAGUAUUAACCUCCACUGGAACAAAAUCCUUUUCCAUAAGAAGUGGAGUUGAAGUAUAUGUAACGACAAGUGAAAGAGAUGGUGUUUCAUAACAUUGUGUCAAUUAAAGAGUGUUAUCAAGGUGGUGGGAGCAAGUGCAUGUAUAAGGUCUACAAGAUUUUAAUGAAAUAUUAGCCAUAACAUUUCUGACUUGAUUCACUUUAAUAUAUUUGGUUUUUGCACAAAGCAAGAGGUUCUGAAAGCAAAUACAAAACUACAUUACUGACUUAUACAGCUUCUGAAGAAGAUGAUGCAAAUGUUAAAUUGCAUCAUCAUAAUCGUCAACAUAUUCAAAUGCAUGCUUAAAAAUAUUUAAGAGAAGGCUCCAAUCCUUAUAAGUGACUAUACUCAAACUAUUGUACCACGACAACACCAUCUCUAUAAGGAACUUACACAAGUGCUAAGCAUUAUUCCAAAAAUGAUAAGUGGUAAUCAUUGUAAAAUGAUCGAACCAAUAGUAUAUAUCAUUCCGAGGAUUCCUAAAGAAGAACUCUAAUUGGAUGUAAGGGUUGGCAACAAAAGUGUACCACACACUAUGAAUGCCACUAUCAAAUGAGUUUGAUUGGUCAUUUAUAACUAUAUAGCAUUGAGUAUUUUCACCAAUUGCUACUCUAAAGUCAGAGGAAGAGGAAGCUACUACUCUACCAUGAGAAAAACUGAAAAACUAUUAAAAAAAUAAAAAGAGAUUUAAACAAUAUAAAAAUUAGAUCUAAAUCAAAAGCACAAAUCAAAACAUUUAUCAUGGACAAUCAAAGUUUCCCCUUAUCAUUACUAAUGUAAAUGUAUAUAUGGAGUAUAGAAAUUUUUAUAUUUGAUUUUCUACAGUAAGAACUCUCUAAAAAUAAAAAAAACUGACAUAUCUGGACAAUAAUAAUAUACAAACCCAUGACAAAGCCUGAAAACCCUAACUUAUAUACAAAAGUGAGUGGUUUAGAUUGAAACAAGUUCAAUAAUUACUAAAAUCCUAUUAUAUUAAUAAUAGUAUAUGGCAUCAUAGUCUUACACUUAGAUCUCACAACCUAAAUUUUGCCAUGUUUAAAUUGAUGUAUAUUACAACUUUAUUAAGUUAUGUUCUUUCUUUUCCUCUUUUCAUGAGUCAUGCAAACUUUAAUUAUAUUUUGGUUGGUAAUGAAUAUGCCUAGAACAUAUUCUAGGAUAUUCUACCAUCUAAAAUUAUUAUUCACUUAGAUUGAUUUUGCAUUUAUAAAUUAUAAACUUUCCUAAAUACUUUUUAGUAUAUACUAGUUUAUUCUACCAUCUUAUGCAAUAAUAUUAACCUUAUAUUUAUAAAUUACAAAUAUAUUUAUAUUUAUAAACUUCAUAUUGGUAAAUUACAUUAGUAAAAAAUAAUAAACAGGAAUAAAAAGCCACACAUUGUUGUGGAAAAUAUGCAGAAAGUUAAGUUUUUAAUCUUAUAAAUUACUAUAAUUUAUAUUAAUAAUUUAUUUUCUAAUUAUUUUUCCAAAUUAUAUAUUUUGAGUUACCAAUAUGACUUGACACAACUAAUGUUCCAUUAUCUUCAAGUGUUAAUAAAGCAAAAACUAUGCAUUUUAAACAAUAAUUAUCAUUUUCCCAUAUAAUAUUAUCAUCUUUAUUUAUAAGUAAACGACCACUAUAUUGAAGGUGUAAAGAACAAGAAGCAUCAAAUUUUUCUGAAUUUGUAGACCAUAAACUUUGUUCAUGAAGAAUACUUUCAAUUAUUAAAUUACAAUUGAUAAGAGUUGCUCUAUAAUGAUUAUUUGAUGAUACUAAAGCAUUUCCAUUAAUUAUAUAUGUACCAAUUCUAUGUUUAUAUCCACUUAUUAAUUGUGUUCUAUAUGCCCAACAUUGUGAAGUAUCAAAAUCACCAUUUAAAAUAUCUCUAGGUGGAUUAUUAUCAUCAGGUAAACCUUUUGGAUAUUCUAAAGAAGGUAUUGGAUCAUUAGGAUUUCUUCUACUUGGUCCAGUAGCAAAAUAAUCAAUUAUAAAGUGUCUAUAAACAGUAAUAAUUUCUUGUAAACCAUAAAUACGUGCAUGAUAUUCUACAAGUCGUAAUAUUUGAGUAAAUGUUUCUUGUAAAUAUCGUGCAGUAAAGGCAUAGCCUUCAGGAAGUGAUGUACAAUCAAAACCCCUUAAAGCAUCACGAAAUAUAUAAAUUCGAAUAAUAACUUGUUGAUAAGCAACACUUAUUGAUUCUUGAAUAAAAUAUCCAUUUGGCCCAGGAUUGAUUGGCAUAUUGAUUCUUCCUAUUAAAUUUCUAAAUUCUCUUAUAAUUCUACCGAUGUGUCUAUUGCCAAAAUGGUAUAAACCUCCAAUCACUCUUGUUUCUGGUGGUUGUGCAUAAUAGCUUGCAAUAAAAGAAAAUAAAAUGACUAAUAAUAAAAUUUUAAAGCUCAUUAUUACAAAUAAUAAAUAAGUAAUUAAACUAUAUAUCUAUAUAUAUAAAGUUUUAGUUGUUUUUUUUCAAAUUUUUAAUUAUUAGCUUUAAAUCAUAUAUAUUAUUAAAGAUGAGUACCAUUUGUUUCAUGACAUUUGUACACAAAAUAUUUAAAUGAAAAAGUUCACUAUUGUUUAUAUGUUUUAAAAUUAUUUUUAAGUAUAUUAUUGUAAUGUUAAUAAGGUGUUAGUCUGACACUUGUCAAGUUCUUUGUCAAAGAGUGGCUCUUCGGCAUGCUGGGGGAUUUUAAUCUGCUGAAUUUUGUGGGCUAUUGCGACGAGCUCAAUGCUGGGUAUGCAACCAAUGGCUAUCUGCAAGCCAAAGGCGUGGGAGCUUGCGCCGUGACGUUCACUGUUGGGGGUCUUAGUGUCAUCAACGCCAUAGCAGACUCCUACAGCGAGAAUUUGCUGGUGAUUUGCAUUGUUGGAGGCCCCAAUUCAAAUUUUUUCAUCACACGAUUGCAAGUUACUUGUGCUCAGGUAACAAAUUUUUUUCUCUCAUUUUCUUCUUUCUGUGUGGAACAUCCACUGGUCUUGCAAUUGAAAACUUGUUUAUUUUGUGGAGCAUGGAAUCUCUCAUCAAUGAUUUUGAUGGUUUUUGCAUGGAAUAUUUGUGUCUUGUUUGGAAACCCUUGUGCUGUCAUAACACAAGCAUUGUUUUCAUAGCUUUAUGGGAACUAAGGCAAAGCUUUUAUAGGAACUUGGCUCUUUUGUGGAACUUUUUUCCUGGUCUGGCUAGGUUACAGCAUAGGAUGUUGGUACCAUGAUUCGUUAUGGCCAAAGGAGCAUCAUAUUCCUGAUUAACAACCGUGGCUUACACAAUUGAAGUGGAGAUCCACGACAGACAUGAUUAAAAAAACUGGGAUUACACUGGAGUGGUGAAUGCUUUCCACAACAAUGAGCAUCACGAGAAAGGAGCUGCUGGAAUGGGGGCCGCUGCUGUUACCACAUCUAAAGUUCCCUAGCUAUUGACACUAUUCACCAAAAGCAAUAUAAAUCCUCUUAAAGCUAUUUUGUCUUCUUAAGGGGAUUGUGGUUCAACACUAUAAUAGGUUUUGACUUGAUGGUGCUAGUGGAAGGAGACUAGCUAUACAAUUUUUCAUUGGAGAAUAAGAGUGCAUUUCAAGGUGUUCUUGGAAUAUUUCACAAUAGGUGAUGAUUAAAUCUAAAUUUCUCAUUAUAAUAAUUUCAUCAUAGUUGUGUAUAUUAUGUAGAUUAACAACAUAGGCUACAAUUUGUUAUGCUAUACAAAAGCAAUGGCAUAAGUUCACAUAUAACAAGAGCCCAUAAGCAUUAUGCUAUAUAAACUCCUCUUUUGUGGAUAUGGAUGUUGACGAAGACUAUUUUUUUCUAUACUAGAAUUUUAUAGUGGUAUUAUACAAUUUCUUCUUUGACUUAUGAAAUUUAAUUUUUUAUUAGACUUAUGUUAUUUAGUAUCUUCUUGGACUCAAGAUGUGUCUUAACUUUCGAAUAGAAUUGUUAGUUUGUCCCAAAUCAAUCAUUUCAACAUUGACUUCUAUUAACUUGAGCUCAACUCGUGAGUUGAGCUCAAAACCUCUAGCAAAUAACCUUUAUCAUUUUCUCAAAAGCUAGUCCAUUGGAUGAAGCCUUUUUUUUCUCAAGAGUGUGAGCUUGUUCAAAGUGUUCAACUAGUAUGUUAUUGCCUUCUGUGAGAACAAUCAUAAGAGAGAGAGAGAUUUUCUUCCUCCGCUACUUUGUCAUAUUCUUCAUUUGGUGCUGUGGCAUUUGCAUGCUCUCUUGUGAUUGAUUUUUGGCACUCUCAUUCAUGUCAAGGAGAUUUCUUGAACAAAUACCCUUGAUUAGAACUUGUUGAUGGUAUCAAAUAGAUCCUAGUCCAAAACUGGCAGAGUGAACUUCUUGAAAAUACCCAAGUAGAGGGUGAAGUAAUUGGCAUUUCCAAUCUGGUGAUUAUAAUCCUUGAUUACACUAGUUGUCUAGUGAACUGGAGCUGGUUGACACUUCUCACAAGCUGAGGCUCUACCUUGCAAGAUACUCUUCCUGCUUCAAAUCAAUCAAAGCAUGAUUCUCAACUAAAGUCCAAUUGUAUCCUCUUUUCCACCUUGACACUAGAUCAUCUUCAAAUAGCCCCGCUUCCUUGGUUGUUGAUCCCUCAUCACUCACCUAUAGUUUCUCAACUUGAUGAAAAUGCAUUCUAGGAAUACCUAGAUUGGAAAUGAGGUUGCACGUGCUAUGCUUCAUCCUCAUAUGGCCUGAUGCUCCCGAAUUGCAAUACAAAAAGUGAGUGUGAGAAUCAUGAUUAACACUAGGAAUCACAUAAGUAGAGAGCAUGGCAAAACUAGCAUUAGAUCUGGUGAUCAAGCUCUCAUGAUCAAGCAGCUCUCCUGACUCAUUCCAGCCCUAAUGGAAAGUUACAUAAAUAUAAUGGUAAGUACAUAAAUAUAUAAAUAUACAUAAAAAGAUACAUAAAUUAAAUGGUAAUUAUUGAUACUUAAAGGUCUAUGUGAAGCAAAAGCUCCUUAAAUUUCACCCUUAACUUGCAAAAAGGGCCUAAUUGGCCUAAGUAUGGCCCAUGUGUAUGAAUGAAGGCUUUAGAGACUUAUUUAAUUAAUUUUUGGUCUGCUUAAGAUAGUGGAUAUACCUAGAAGAUGCUUAAAUAUUCUAGAAUAUUUUAAUAUUUAAUGAUUUUUAUUCGUAUUUAUAUUUAUAAACAUAUUUAUCAUUUAUCAACUUUACUAAAAAUUUAUAGUCUAAUGGUUGAUAUGCAAUAAGAUUAAUUUUGUGUUUAUAAAUUAUAAAUAUGCUUAUAAUUACUGAUCAAUUGGAUUAAUAAAUACUAAAUAAGAAUACUACUAUAAGCAUUGCUACUGCAACAUGAAGUAAAUUAUUUAAUUUGUAAGUAAUAAAUUAUAUAAAGUUUCAUAUUACGUCUUUAUAUAUAAAUUUUACAUUUAAAAACAAUAAAUCGUUGGCCAUGCUGCAAACAUGUAAGAAUGUACUCGAAUAUCUUUAGCAUAUCUUCUUAGGCUCAAGCUAAGGGCAAGUGCAGAAGAGAGGGCAAUUUGGCUAGAGAUAAAGCAUUUAGAGUGAGGAGGGGGGGCUUGGCUAAAGGACCAGCUGGAGGGUAAGGAGCUAGUAUGGAUAAAACUGUAGAAAAUAAAUUAGGGAGCACAAAUAUGAAUUCUCUAUGAUGCUACAGAAAUAGUUUGGAAAGCAUUCAAAGGGUAGUAGAGCAGAGCAUGUUUAUUUUUCCCAGCUCAUACUCAAUCAUAAAAUCAAGGGCCUAUAGCUACUCAAUCCAUCAGUAUUGCUUCUUGUUAAGAUUUUGCUGCUUUAAAAGAAACUAAGUGGUAAAUCCUCAAUGUGAAAUGUGCUAGAACAAGGUAGCGGCACCACUUUCCCACUGCAUGCAUGACCUCUCUUCUCUUCUUUCUCUUGCCUUGGUUGCUCUUGAGCUCAUCCAACCUGUCAAUUGCAGCUCUAGAGGACUUCUUGCAGCAGGAUUGCCACCCACCAACUCACAGCACCAAGAAGAUGCUAUGCACAAAUCCUUCAUUGAGUCCUUCCAUACUUCUAUCUUCUUAGCUGUGAUAGGAAUGACUUCUAUCUCUUUCCCAUGCACUACUUUACUCUCAUACGUGCUCGGGAACACCACUAGCUGGUAUGGAUGAAACUAUAGAAAAUAAAUUAUGGAGCACAUAUAUGAAAUCUUUAUGAUGCUAUAGAAAUAGUUGGGAAAGCAUUCAAAGGGUACUAGAGAACAUACAAUUCUCUAUAAUGCUAUGGAAAACAGUUGGGAAAGCAUUUGAAAGGUAGCCUUGUAUGAUCUGCUAACUUGGUUCUAGAAUGGACAAGCCUUGCACCACUGAGUCAUUUGGCUUCUCAAACUUAUGGGACAAUGCAUCAGAGAGCAUGUUCAUUUUUCCCAGCUUGUACUCGAUUAUAAAAUCAAGGGCCUAUAGCUACUUAAUCCGUCAGUAUUGCUUCUUAUUAAGAUUUUGCUGCUUUAAAAGAAACUAAGUGGUAAAUCCUCAAUAUGGAAUGUCCUAGAACAAGGUAGCGGCACCACUUUCCCAUUGCAUGCAUGAUCUCUCUUCUCUUCUUUCUCUUGCCUUGGCUGCUCUUGAGCUCAUCCAACCUGUCAAUUGCAGCUCUAGAGGACUUCUUGCAGCAGGAUUGCCACCCACCAACUCACAGCACUAAGAAGAUGCUAUGCACAGAUCCUUCAUUGAAUCCUUCCAUACUCCUAUCUUCUUAGCUGUGAUAGGAAUGACUUCUAUCUCUUUCCCAUGCACUACUUUAUUCUCAUAUGCGCUUGGGAACACCACUAGUCUGCAACUGUUUGCAAUGCAUACCAAGAUUCUCAAACCCAACUUGCCUAAGAAGGUGAUGAACUUUUUCUCUCACAAGAACUUGCUCUUGCCACUCUAACUCACUAGAGAACUCUUUUAGGACUUCCAAAAUGCUUAGAAUCACUAUGUUUCCACAGCCAAUCACAAAUAGCUCUAUAAUUCCCUCCUUGCAACUCUAGAAAGAUGGGAUGAGCUCAGAAUCCUCUCCAAACACUCAGUUCUACUACAAGCUUGGGAACACCACUAAUCUGUAGCCAUUUGCAAAUUAUAAAGAGAUUCUUCUCAAAAAACGCUUUCUUCUUUCUAAAAAAUAUGGACCAAAGGGUUAUAGUUGUCCUUAACCUAACCUCCAUCACUCCAGAUGAGGCUAAGAUUUUUAUGAUGUUUAUAAUGCAUCCAUCUCCCAGAAUCUUGGAUUGUUGUCUUGAACUUCUGCCACCUUUAUUGCUUUGCUAGUGAUCAUCAUAAACCCAUCCAAGUUCCCUAUAUUGCUUCGCUCCUGAUCCUCCCACUGAAAUCCCAAAGAUUCCUUAAAUCUCACCACUUAAGAUACUCAUCUGCUAUGUGAAUCAAACCACAUUUAACUAUUUCCAUCCAAGAUUUUGCAUCUUUAUUAUGCCUGCAUUUCUUCGACCCCUGUCAUCAUCAAACCACACUUAACUAUUUCCAUCCAAGAUUUUGCAUCCUUAUUAUGACUGCAUUUCUUCAACCCUUACUGUCCAUGUUUACUAUGUGGAUCAAACCACACUCAACUGUUUCCAUCCAGAUUUUGCAUCCUUAUUAUGCCUGCAUUUCUUUGACCUUGUUUUCGAUAUUUCUUGCUAUCACAACUUCCUCAACAUCUUUUGGCUAUUUUUCAGCUGCCAGGACUUCCUCCUCUGUUAAUGAUGCCACUAAGAAGCCUUGGUCUAGAGAAUCUCAAGUCUCCUUGACCUCAUUACCCUUGUUGCUUACUCCUUUUGCAUGAACCUCCUCUUAACAAGGUUUCUUGAUUCCUACCCCACCUUGUGAUCCCUGUAAUGGACUCACCUUAGUUCCAUAUGGUCUACCUAGAAGAGUAAGUCCUUUCACAGAGAAUCUUGUUGGAAGAAGGACCCAGGAAUAUGGAGGCUUCAGCCUUGCCCUAGUCAUAUCUUACCACAUCCUGUCACUGGCAGCUCCUGAUCCCCACAAGACUUUUGACUUUGAAAGGCAAAUUUAGCCAUGUUCUACCAAGCUUUUACUCCAUAAACACUUGUAAUUCCUUGUUUGCCUUCCUGAUGCUUGAUGUCAUGAAUUUUGCCAUGAAUAACCUUUUUCAUGCAUUUUCAUCUCUAGGAAACACUGCCUCCUACCAUUCUUUAGCCAUCUUGGCCAUUUCCAUAGCCAUGUUUUCUUCAUGAAUGGCCAUCUCUUCUUUCAGCAUCUCAUCUCCAAGUUUGUUGGUGUCUUCCACCAUCAUCUCCACCUCCUGGAUUCUUGAAUCCAUUUUCUUGAGCUCCUAUAUCACGCAAGCCCCACAAGCAUAUGCCAUCUCGAGCUUCUUUGUUGUCCUCUAAUUGAAGGUGGUAAAGAAUUUACUACCUCAUAAGCACCUCCUAGAUACUUUAGCUUUGCUUCAUAAAGAUUCUUUGUCUCUUGGGCAUGCUUUUAGAUUCCAUGUGCCAGUGCAAUGUGAGUUCCCUGGAUGGUGCUGGCAAUGUGCUAUGGCAGGAGGAGGUCUGCGGCAAGUUUUGGGGCGGAUUGAGCAGCCCAAUAUGCUGAGCUUCAUGGCAGCCAUGAGCGCCAUAACAGGGCUAGUGAUGUGCAAGGCGGGGAGAUUGAUCCAUGAAAGUAUUGUCAGGGUCGAAUUGCUCAAGAGAGGCAAGUGGAUCCAUUUGCAGCCCCACUGCCUCGUAUCAAAUAUGGUGGUGAAAAUUCUGCUCAAUAUGUAUGCCAAAUGUGGACAGGUACAAAGGCAUCGCUAUGCUUGCAACUAAUCAUCCUCAAGAUCUCAAUGAAGCUAUGCACAGGCGGGUCACUUUUCUAUUUAGUUGUGUUAGCGAGUUUCAUCCGCCAGAACACCGGGGAAUUUGGAAGAUAUCAUAUGACAAAUUAUAUUUAUCAAAAUAGCUUUUAUUAAAGUGUGUUAACAGAUACAAAAGUAGUUCUUUACUUCAAGAGACAGUGCCAGUUUCCGAGGAAGACAUCAUCGAAGGCAGGUGCGUGGCAGCUUUAGAUUUGUGUUUUAGUUUGUGUUACUAAUACCGGAAUCCACAUACGAAGUCGUUCAAUUUGUCCAAAGGUAAAUCACAUAGCGUUUUUUCAAAGCACUUUGAGCUUAAGUUGAUUCCAGUGCAGGCGCUCACAUUUUGAUGGGCUAAGCAAGCGAUUCAAUGAGGUUGUGUGUUCUUUUUACUGUCGUCCACCUUGCUGAGAAACUUUCUUCAGGCUGCCUUACGCUCUGGUGAUCGGACCAAAGGAUCUAGUGCCUGAAGCUGAAAAGAAACACCUCUGUCAUCUAAAUGCCUUUUCAACUCUUUCUUUUGUUGCAGAAAGUGACGGCAGUCGCAGCUUGAUUAGUUGUCCGGUUUUGACGUGGUAAUAUAGGCUGUUAAGGGUAACACUUGAGCUAAGUGUUGGUACAGCACGGUUUUUUGAAGGAAGAAAAUGGGAGCUGAGCGUUCUAAGCCCGAGUGUCCACAAGGCUGUCAACGAUUUGGGGAUCACUUCUUUUUGAACACUGUUAUCCAAUGUCCACACACAAGAUGAAAUCCUCAUAUAUAUAUAUAUAUAUAUAUAUUAUGUCAGUGCUACUCACUCUCGUCUCUGCGCUCUCUUUUAUGUUGCAGGCGAUUAGCACCUUGAGGCGAAAGAGAGUCCAGGUCGCGACCAAGUUUGGCAGGGAAUCCGAUGUGAUCCAGCUGAAUCAUCUGGGAGACGAAAUCCUGUGAAGUCCACACCCUAUAUAAUUCCAUAGGGCCAGGGAUAAUGCAAGACUGGAAUAGGGAUUAAUGGGUCCGCCGCGCCAUGGAUCUGGAAAAGCGUCAGGCCUGCAGCUCCGGAGAUCCAGACCGCCCGGCGAUGAGCAGCGCCUUGUUCCUCAGGAGAAAGCCGCCGCAUCUUCAGGGCGGAGAAAGCGGAAAGCGGCUGAAGAAUCAGCGGCCGCAAGAGAAAAGAAAAGGUUGCAAUCUAUAGUAAUCCAAAUGGUCCACGAGAAAUCUCCUGGCAAGAUUAUGGACUUGGCCAAGAAGAUGCUCGAAGGUACGGUUUGUUUUUCAUUCCCAACUUCAAGAUAGUUCUCACGAUACAAACAAAAUUUAACAGAUCCAAAACCAACGCCAACGCCAGAGACUUCUGAAGAGACUGAAGAUGAUCCGGGAAUCGUUGAGAGAGCAUUUCAAGGGGAGUAUCAGACUGUGGGGGGAGUAGACAACGUUGAUCUCUUGCGUCAGAAGAUUGAAGAAACAGGAACAUCCUGGGUUGCAAAGAAUCGGAUAGCACCUGUCGUUACUCUAGUGCAGUCGAGUGGCUGGGGAAAGUCGAGGACUAUCUGCGAGCUUGCAAGUCGAGGUGUGUUCGUGGUUUACUGCUCCUUUGCAUCUGCCACCACUACUUACCCGCCAAGGUCUGCCAUUGCGGACUUCUUCUACACAAGCGCCGUCAGGUUGCUCAGCUCGGGUUCUCGGCUUGUGUCAGAGAGCAGGUUUAUGCUCUUCUGCAUGCACUACUUCUCGUCGUGCAUCGAUGUCGCCGUGGACAAGCAGUUGGCGGCAGAGGACUUCCUGCAGGAACUAAUGCUUGGAGAGGAAUUCUGGCGUCUAGUGCAGGCCAAGAUUGAGAGUCGACAAAAACAGUGGGAACGCCGCUAUCCUGCACUUGAAAAGGUACUGCUGGAGGAGCCUAGUAGAGCGACCAAUGUCUGGGGCGCAUGGGAAGAUCGGGUACAUCGGCGAAUGCGGAAUACCGACAAACUGAAGCAGUUACCGGAUCCUCCCAAAGGAAAACUCAAGGUUUUGUUUGUCAUGGAUGAAGCUGGAUGGUUUGGCAGGUGUGAUGAUCAUCGAGCUUUUGCUGCAUUUGAUCCUGCAAGAAGGGCUGCCAGGCUGUUUCCAGGGACUGGAGAGGUCGUUGCCUUAUAUACAGACACCAACGAUUUUGCUGGGAGCAAUGUUGCACCUCCAUGUAGGCCGCACAGCAGCGACCGAGUAGCUGCACAUGGAAUGGCAGUAUCACAUCCAGCGUACUGCUUUUUCCCGGCACACUCCCCAUCAGACACAGGAACAGGUAGCCUUCCGCUUGCCAAAGUGGAAAAUCUUGGUCGUCUGGUCGCUUAUGGUCGGCCGCUCUGGCAAGCACUGUUAAAGGCUAACGGAGAUCCUCAGGAGGUAUUAACUCUGGCUGUCAACAAGCUCCUUGGCGGCGCGAAUUCGCUCAGCAAAUUUGUGGACCAAGGUUUUAUGUUGGAAGAGGCUCCUUUGGCCAUACUUGGCUGCAGGGUGUGCCUCGACAUCAACCCUCAGGCCAGAGUUGUCGCCGGCUUGGUUGCGAGGCACCUGCUUAGCGUGGUGUCUAUCUCUGACGACCGGGAGCAUGUUUGGACGGAUUGGGCCGUCGAGCCAGUGGUUGCAGCGGCUGCAGCAAUGGCUUUGCGUGCGGGGCGAAAGCGGACAGGGUGGCAAUACUGUCUCGAAAAACUUGAGGACGGGCUGAUGCGUGGCUGGGUUGAUCGAGGUUACCGGGGCGAGCUUGUUGCACGAGUGCUGCUAUUACUCGCAGUGGACAGUCUGCAGAAAGAUGCAUGGAGGUGCUUCACUUUUGACGAGCUAUGCCGUGGCCUUUGCGGCACGUCGCUGUCGGAUCUCAGAAGAGCAGAGCUGGGAGUGGAAGACGAGGAGAAGGGCCUUAAAAAUGUUGGUGACGCCAAGUUUCUUUGCUUGCAGUUCAGGAAAACUGACAUUCCACUGAAGGAGCUCACAGCAGAGAAUCUGCUUGCAUUUGGAAAGGCGGGUGUUGGCAUUAUUUGCAGUGGAGGCAUAGACAUUAUCAUCGUAGGCUUUUUCGGUGGUACGUUCAGCUUGGAGACGAUGACCGCCAUUCUGGUGAAAGUGAAGAGGACGAAGACGCUAGGCGACUUGGAUUUGGCAUAUGCUAAAUGUAGCCCGGAGUUUUCUGGGAUGGUGGCUCUACUCGAGGUACCAUACGUGAGCUUGCUCGUGAAUGUUGCUGACAGUUCCAGUGACGAACUUGGAAACUCAGAACGACAAAGCGUCAGUUUCAAAACUGGGAAACUCGUUAAAGCGGCAUUAAUGAAGAAGAUGCCUGCAAAUGUUUCGAUGGAAGUGGCACUCCAGGAAACACACCCAAAUUGCGAAGGUGUUGAGCUAUGGGGAAAGGAGAAAGGAAUGUUGUCCAGGAGCAAAAGACGUUCCUUACGGAAUGUCGAGGCAUGGAAACGAUAUUUUACUCGGGUUGAUGACGAUCUCCAACACAUCGUGGCUAUUAAAGGUGCGUUUUGUGUUGUUUUGUUGACAGUCACAUUGGUUUUUUUCGCAGGCUUGCAGGCAUUCUCAUCCAGGGACCAAGUGAAACCCCUGGUUGACAUGUCUCUGAAAUCCGCUCCAGGGAUGAGGCGGUUAGAGGAGAGGAGUCAGAAGAUAUGUGCAGAGAUGAUGUUUAGCCUUGUCGGAAAGAGCAAACUGCGAAAGGAAAGGAAGUCACUACUCUGGUAAGGAGUGCUUUGCAUCUAUAUUUCUCUUGACGAUAUUAUUUGUGCAGUGGCUGUCACAGUAUAUACAGCUCCAAAUUCUGGAAUGUCGCCGGCUUCCAUCGCUGUAAACUUUUUCAAAAGGGCGCAAGAAGAUCUUUUAUUUGACUAAUAUAAAAGUUUCUUCUGGCCAUGGUCGUCCAUGACAAACUUGAUCUCCAGUGCACCACAGCAGUGUGCCUAGAACUCACGUUCUACCGAUACAACAUCGAAUGGAAGCUCCUCCGAAGAGGCUAAGCUAUACGUCUUCAAUUUCGUUUUCUUUCGUUUCUCGACUAACAAAAGAUCUCUUGAGACUAGAUUUUAAAUCAAAAUGUAAGAUAAGAUGGACAUAAGAUGAAUGAGCACAGGCUCUUUAGUUUUAUUUUCUGGAUCUUAUUACACGCUGAAGGUUGGUUGUUUGUAGACAUGUGUAAAUAACCUGGUUAAACAUUUGUAUGUUUGCCGUCGCGAGUGGAGUUCAAAAAAAUCACCUCAUGGUGUGGUGCUUAUUUACUACACCAUUAAAAAGUUCGCCCGCUUCGUCCAAAACGAUCUAUGGUUGUAGAAUUAGUGAAAAAAAAAGAAAGAAAAGCGACCCAGAGAUGCAUGAAAAUGUUACAGGCCCCUUGACCUCACCAAUGGAAGAAAAUACGUAAGCAUUUCGGUAAGGAGAGAGGAAGAAUCUGUGAAGUAAACUCUAGGCGAGACGCAAAGCACGAAGAACACUUGAGAAAGUUCUAGGAGAUCGCCUGCCCUAGCUAAAUCAAAGAGGGAAGAACUCAGAUUCGCCUUUUCUCAGCCAAAUCGUCGCAAGCUCUCAGUGAUGUCAACGUAUCAGCCAUCGCUUGAUGCGAAGACCACGAUCAUCAAACUCACAACAAGACUUGGAUUGCGCUGAUUUUCUGUCGAAUCAUCACCGUUCCUGGGCAAGAACAAGGGCACUUCCACGAGGGAGAAAACCAAACUCGCUCCUGCCCAUACCUCCUCGCCAUCAAAAUCAUCUUUGCUGCGAGAUCGCGUCACAAAAAAGGCAAAACAGGAGGCACCAAUCGAUCAUCCCACGCCGCAAGAACAGGGCAUCAGACUUAAACUAAUGAGCGUAAAGGAGAGCCCUACCAGGGACGGCCGAGAUUAAAUCACUGCUCCAACGGCCACGAUCUCUUAUGGCGUUUAGCCCAGAUUAACAAAGUUGAGAAGGUUUACCAGCAACGCAGUCAAUGGCGCUGACUGGAAAUUGAAAUUUGACUGUCCAGUCAAAUAAAUAGUCUGCGAGGAUCCGGAGCGUGAUCACGAAAAUGGCUCGUGGAAAUCUCUCCUCGCUGCCGUCACUGCUGCUUAUUCUCAUUUCUUCCUUGAUGAUAUUCUCAUCCCGCGCUGCCGAUCCCGAUCCAGCGCAGGAUUACUGCGUCGCAAACGUCGAGCUCCCGCUGCGAGUGAAUGGCUUCACUUGCAAGCCCGAGGUCACUCCGCUCGAUUUCGUCUCCUAUCUCCUGCGAGAGCCCCCGAAUCCCACCGCCCUGGAGAACAAUCGACUGGGUUCCAUCGUCACGCAGGUGAACGUCCAGAGUUUCCCGGGGCUCCACACCCAGGGCCUCUCGAUCCAGCGCUUCACGUACGCGCCCGGAGGCGUGAUUCCUCCCCACGUCCAUCCCCGGUCCUCGGAGCUGCUCUACGUCCUCCAGGGAACGGUCGUGGCGGGGUUUGUGACCACGGACAACCGGCUGUUCCAGGCGACGCUGGAGCCUGGCGACCUCUUCAUCUAUCCCAGAGCUCUCAUCCACUUCUCGGUGAACACGGGCGAGACGCCGGCGCUGGCGAUCGCGAGCUUCAACAGCGCCAAUCCGGGCACGGCGCUGCUGCCCAACGCGCUCUUCGCGUCCGUGCCCGUGCUCCCGGCCGCGGUGCUCGCCAAGACGUUUGCGUUGAGCCAGAGGGUCAUGGAGAGCUUGCGGCUCGCAUUGAGGAGCAUUCUAACCUAGCUAGUAGCAGUAGCAGUAGUGAUCUAUCGAUUCUCUGUCGCGAUUAUCUAUAUCCAUCCUCCCAUCGAUCGAUCGAUCCAUUCGUGCUUUGAAUUUAAAUUUGAAAGGUCUUUUCCUAAUAGAAUACCCUAUAAAAUCUUGCAAACAACUUUAAAUUGAGGUUUAGAAAAGGCUGGCGGAUAGGUCGCGCUUCUUCGAAAGAUGGCUGCCCAAGCUUCUCUCCCUCGCCAAUGUUUUGUCUCGCAGGACAAUCCGUGUGAUCAGGGAAUAUCUAUCCUCAUCAGAGGACGUCGAAGAUGACAUAGUCCACAUCGAAGUGACGAACAACGAGGGAGCGUUGGAGGGCACUGUUCAAGUCAGUCGCUGACAAGGCGUUUGAGGUGCUUGAGGCGGCAAUGGCGCGUGAGCGUGAGCGUGAGGCGGAGGCGGCAGCAAUAAUCAGUAAGUUCCUCUUCUUGCUUGUGUAUUUCGGUCUCAUGUCGAUUCUUCCGCGUGAGCAAAGCUCGUACUUGGACUUGGAAAAUGCGCAUCAGAAUGAUGGGCGGAUUGUGACAGUCCAGCACGCCAUCUCUGGGAGCACGAAGCGAUACUCAGUGGGGCCGGUUGCUGAAAUGUUUGCAAGGAACGUCCAAAAGCUCCUCACGAACCUACGGGCCGACAUCGAGCGCCACCCUAACCGCUGGCAAAUCCGCCAGUGCGUUCGGGAGCCGGAUGACUCCUGCAAUGAUCUCGGCAAGGUCUACCAGCAUGCAGCACGACUGGUAGUCGGCCACUGUACCACGCAAAAUGUUGACAUACACAACUUCACAAAGUGCUGCCAGUUCCAGAGGAACAGACUAAGCAAGAUCAGCGGCAGGCGACAGCACCUUACUUGACUUGGCUAUUGGCAUCGUCCAUCCGGCCAUGGUGGUAUCGACUAAUGCUUACGAGUGGUGCGACAUCUACGUGGAGUUCAUAAACGACGAAUCCAAGCUUGCUGAGGGGUGUGGCCAGGUUCUGGACAGGGCGGAGAAGCGCCGGAAAGAUGCUUGCGCAAAGAAGAAGGUGGCGUUGGGUGGUGUGUCUACAGGCAAAGAUCUAUUACCUAUGGUCGUAUUCACAGACGCUGGAGCCUUCCCACUCAUACAAGGAGAAGUAUGUCGUGCGGUCUGAUUCAGGCGAGAUAUGGGAGCGAGAGCUCGUCCACACGUACAUGGACUUCCUCUUCCGCGGGGGCUGCUAUUUGGUUCGGUUGGAUGGCAGCAAGCAGCAAGUGGUGCUCAAGCGAGGCCCCAUGCAGUCGGUCAAGUGUGCAGCUGAAGGAUUUGGUCUUCCAAUUGAGCUCUUCAGCCAGGUUGAGAAUGAGAUCCGCGUUCGGGAGAUUCUGGCUGCCAGUGGAUGCAAGAUCAGGAUCCCCGAGAUUCUGUGGUCGGGCACGGCUUUACACCCGUUUGGCUGGAGAAACUGCCCGAUCGUGCUCGUGAAUUACGUUGGUGAAUCGCUACACAGCAAGACGCUUCCUAUCCGAGACGCCGCCAAGAUGGGAGCUAGCCUGCUGGAGACGGUGCUGGAGCUGCACAAGCGGGGGAUAAUCCAUAGAAACAUCAGCCCCAGGAACGUUGCUUACCGCGAGCAAGGAGUUGGUUUGGAGAGGUUCCACCUUCUCGACUUUGGGAUUGCCGCGAUUUCCUCGGACAAUGGUGGUAGCGUGGGAAGCAGCUCUGUCAAGGACCUGGAGUUUCGCUCCAUGAACUCGGUGUUGGGCAACAGCGUUGACGCUUCAGCGGAUCUCGAGGGUAUUCUGUAUACGAUGGUAAAGGUGGCCGGGAUGGAUCUACCGUGGUCGACUGCUGCGCAGGAGGAGGACGAGGACUUGGUGGUUACCAUCCGGCGCCAAGUGUUGGACCAGGGCUUCCUUGCGGAGUUCAAGGACGCCCUGAUGUUCCUUGACCUUCGUUUCACCAUAUGAUCAUUUCCAUUGUCUAGCCUCUAAAUCUCCCGGCUCGCCCCUGCUCGCCAAGACGUUUGCAUCGAGCCAGAGGGUCAUGGAGAGCUAGAGUAGUGACCAAUCGAUCCUCUGUCUCAGUUUGAAUUUAAAUUUGAAAGAACUUUCAACGACUAUAGAGAGGAAUUAGGGUUCUUGCAAUGUCGCAGCUACAACGACUGUGUCUUUGGCGACGGCGGGCCUUGGAUCGCUCUUUUCAACAUCUAGAAGCUGGUGAGGAAGAUUCAUCGUCGCAACGCAAAUGAAUCCCGCGCAACAAGCUCGUGAGCGGUCGGCCCUCGCCAUCAUCUUUCUGUGCUCGCCCCAAAUUUCGUCGCGGCGAGCUCGAGAUGGAAGAUCGGUCGAGAAAUGGGGUGGAGCAGCCGGUGAUCGGGCAGGAUAGCAACAGGAAGCUCCGGAUCUUGAGCAUCGAUGGCGGUGGAAUGAGAGGAAUCAUCCCAGCCCAUAUGCUGGCCUACUUGGAAACGGCUCUCAAGGAGAAGAGCCACAAUCCAGACGCUUGCAUCGCCGAUUUCUUCGAUCUGGCGGCUGGAACCAGCGUUGGGGGACUCAUUGCCGUGAUGCUCUUCGCAUCAUCCGACUGCCGCGAUGAUCAAGGCGAAGAAAUCUCCUCCUCCUCCUCCUCAUCGUCCACGGGAGAUCAUCAAAACCACGGUUCUAAGUCACUACGUCGGCCUCUCUUCACGGCCGCAGAGGUUUGCACGUUCAUCUCGGACAGAGGCAAGGAGAUUUUCAAGAUCCCAUACCCCCAGCGAGUGUUUGCAAAGGUCCGAGGGAUCAUGACACCCAGGUACUCCACCAAGUUCUUCGAGAGAAUCCUCAAGCAGCACUUGGUCCGAGGUGGUGGCGAUGGCAGAGAUCUCACGCUGGAUGACACGCUCAAGCCCAUCGUCAUUCCCUGCUACGAUCUCACAAACGCCAGCGCCUUUUGCUUCUCGCGAAUCUCCGCCAACUUCAAGCUCUGGGAGGUUUGCCGGGCUACCACGGCGGUUCCAUCGUUCUUCAAGCCCAUCCACGUCUCGUCCGUGGAUGGAAAGCACGAGUUCACGGCAGUCGACGGUGGCCUGGUGGUGAACAAUCCCACCGCCGCGGCGAUCACGCAUGCUUUGCACGACAAGGCUCGCUUCCCGGGUGUCCGAGGGGUGGAAGACAUGCUCGUUCUAUCGCUCGGCACCGGACAGUUUGAUCAAACUUACCGCUACAACAAAGUGGAGCGGUGGGGAGCUUUCCAGUGGGCCAAACCCAUUGCCAAGAUCAUCAUGGACGGAAUCUCGGACAUGGUGGAUCACACGGUCAGCAUGGCGUUUAGCAGGCACCGAGAGAAUUACGUGAGGAUUCAGGUGGGUUAUCUAUCGUUGAGAGUUUGCUUUGACGAACGACUAAAGUUUGUUUGCUUUGCUUCCAGAUGUCUGGCUUGCCGGGCAAAGCUCUCCUCGCAAUGGACGAUCCAAGCCAGGCCAACGUGAAGACACUAACCGAGAUUUCUACUCGGCUCUUGGACCAAAAGAGCUCGGAACACAUCCCGUUUAACGGGCGAAGAGUUUUGGAAGAGAGUAACAGACAGAAGCUGGACUGGUUUGCCGAGCAACUCGUGGCAAACACUCCAUCGUAAUCGAUUGAAUAUAGUUUCUUAUAUACAGGAUCUUUCAUAUGCACAACGAUGCGAAGCUUUUUACACAAUCUACAGGGCUUGGGCGGUACUCGAGCAUGCCUCCGCGCUAGCAGCAGCCAUGCGAGGUACGUCCACUCCUUCGUUGCAAAGAUUUGCAAACGCUCUCAUGUGUUUCAUGCCAUACUGUCCCAGCAAACCACAGCUCGUCUCGAAAGCUUGCACCUAAAAGUCACAUCACAGAGAGAAGAUCAUCGAAAAGAUCACACAAAGUUCUCGAAGAACACUUGCCAGCGAUUUCAGGCACGUCCAAUCGUCCACGAGCGCGAGGCCGGAGCCCCGGACGGUGCUUAGAACUUUGGAUGCCGCAGCCUUGGAGCCAAACAGACGCUCGCCAACUCGAUCCACGCUCUCGUCGACGUGCUGUCUGUGAGCCAAGGCGUUCAUCAUCCUCUCGCGAGCUUCUCGUUUGGAGUCACUUCCAUCCUUGGCUCGGCGAUACUACACUCGACGAAACGAUGCGAUCAUCGAUCUAGAAAAGAAAAGUUCUUCUCUUCGUACCUUGCUCCACAGGUGUAGCAAAUCCGCAUCACGCUGGCUAACACCAUUGGCACUGCUCGGGAUGAUCAAGUCGCCAUUGCCAUCCGCGAUUGCGGGAUCAAAGCCCAAGAACAUGGAAAGCGGGUUAGAGUUGAGCUCCACGUCGCCGUAUUGCAUUACGUGUGAUCCGGCCUCGUAAGUGUUGUGAUUCGAGGUUCUAUCUUUCACCUGCAAGAUCGAAGUAAAAACCAAGAGAUCCCGAUCGAUUCAGCAAACUCACGUCUAGAUACUGUUGAAGUAGCGUCUCCCUCUUGAGAUUGUGAACUUCGCUGUUUGGAAGAGAGAUCCCGUAAGCUCAAACGUCAAAAAAACUUAGAACUUUAGAAGAACCUGUCCUCCAUCCAAGCGACGCUGUAGAGAUCUCCCAAGCAAGUAUCAUACUCAGGAGGAGCCGAGGGUACCAUUCCAGGGCAGUAAGUUCCCCAGCUGCUCUCGAUCGCGUUGGAAGCAGUGGUAACGUAAAGACCCAGUCCCAGUGGAAGCAAUCCCUCGACCAUGCUGCCACUCUCGCAAGCCUCGAUAUAUAUCACCUAAAGUUGGCAGCUCGAGUAGUAGCAUCUUCUUUAGCUCACGACGAACAAAGAAAGAACAAAGAUGAAAAGAUCUUUACCAUUUCUCUGUAGCCUCCGGAUGCGUGCUUCUUCUUGAUGACGUCGAUGAGAUCAUUUGCGUAGAGAUUCGACUCUCCGGGCAUUCCUGUCAAGCACGACAAGCUAAGUUGUUUGUCUUUCUCGAGUCUAGAACAAAGAAGGAAUCACCGAGAACUCCAGGGCCUCCGUGAUCCGAGUAGAAGAGAAAGACAUGAUCUUCCGGCCCGCUGCUCACGACUUUGCCAGUUCCGCCGCUGGUGGAAUUCUUGUCCCCGAGAAGAACAGCCAGGAAAUUCUCGGCGGUCACGGCAGCGCCCGUGUAAUCCUGGCCACAGAACAAUCAAUCAAUAACGUAACUUCCAAGAAAUCCGCGAACAAGUCAAAACUCCUUCACCUUUGGAACUCCGGCAUAAACGUCGGAUCCUUGGGGAUGAUUGAUGAUCGUUCCCGGGCGAGGAUUGUCCGUGUUGUUGGCUAUGUCGUCGAACAUCAUCACCACAAUGUUUUCCUCCUUGAGACCAUUGCUGCGCAGCAACUGGUAUGCAUGGCAAACAUCCGCCUGGAGGAAAGAGCAGUUUGGAAGCAAACAAGAGCAAACGAAGAACUUAGAACAAGAAGGAAGCGAAGAACAUAGAGAAAGAAAGCGAUGGAAAGACUCCUCUCACCUGGUGCCUGUAGUUGCCAAACCCGGAAGAUCCAGCAACUAGCAGCGCCCACCUCGUCCCGGACGCAACUUCCUCGCUCGAGGGCAUGCGAAUUGGAUUGUGGGCUGCGAAAAAGUCCAGUGGCCUGGCCGCCGCCACCGCCACCGCCACCAUCGCUAGAACCAGCCACAGGAAGAAUCCCACUCCCAUGACGGCGAUCUCUCUCUCGAGAACGAAAGAAAGAAAGAAAACCAAAGGGUUACGAGAGAGCUUGAGUCUCUCUCUCUCUCCCUUUAUCGUGAACAGUACGAGAGUGACACCACCUAAACUCCCAAAACUCUAGCCAAGACUGUCGAGGAAUCCAUCGACGUCGGCCUUGAUGGUGCUUAGAUCCGCCUCGGCGCUCAAGCUCAGCUUGCCAUCGCUCACGCUCACCAGCACCUUGGCCUGGAACGCGUUGGCGUAGGCAUUGGGAUUGCAAAACAGCUCGAAUCCCACCUCCUCGCCAUCGCCACCAUCGCCACCAUCGCCAGCGCUGUAUGCAAACUCGACGCUCUUGAGCCUCUUGGGCCGCCCUCCUUCCUCGUGCGCCUGCUGCUUCUCCCGGAACGUCUGGAUCAAUGCCUCCAUCGUCCCGCUCAGCGCUCGCGCCUUGUCCAUCGACAUCGGCAUUGUGAUGGACGUCUCGCCAACGUGAAGCGUCAAGCUCUUGGACGCGAUCGUCGUCGCCCCCGCGGCUACCAAAACACACUAAAAAUCCCACCUUUGCCUCGAAUUCGACAUCUCACCUGCGCUGGGAUUGCCGUUGGAGCUCGAGCAAGCGGUCGGCAAUGCGGUGUGCCUGUGUGACAAGAACACUCUGGGAAGAGCAACCAUGCCCGCCAUAGCCAUUGUUCUUCCGGGCCACAAAAACUAACAAACCCUCGAUCUUCUUCCUCUCUAUCUUAGCUCCAAAUGGCGGCAGCGAUCAAAUGGGACGAUGGCUUCCCCAAGUUCGAUCUCGACUCGUUUAGCUCCAAGAGGAAGCGAUCGCUCAAGAGAUCCUCCAAGAACAACUGGCUCCAAAGAUCGCUGCAGUGGAUCGAGGAGAGGAACCUGGGGCCGGGCGGCGGCGCUGGGAUCGGGUGUGGAGUUGGGCUGGGAUUGGGCGUGACGGGAUCGCUAGGACUGGGCGCUGGAUCCUGGAACGAUCUCCGUGUCAUCUUCGGAGUAGGCGCCGGGUGCGGCGUUGGAAUCGGGUAUGGAAUCGGGCAUGGGCUUGGCUUUCUCUGGGAUAGGCCACCACCAUCGCCACCACCACCAAAACGAAAUUUUGUCUCGUGAUUCUUCUUCCUCCCAAGAACAAGAAUAAGAUCUCUUACGUUCGAUUUCCAUAGCUAAAGCUAGAAGAUAGAAUCGUUCCAUAGCUACGUAGAAGAAAGCUAACUAGAAGAUAGACUACGUAGAAGAAAGCUACCUAGAAGAUAGACUACGUAGAAGAAAUCUAAGAAGCUCCAUAGCUCAUAUGAAUAUGGACCAAGGUCUCCAAGUAUAUACAAACCGGGUAAAAAUCCCAUCUUGCUCGAUCUUCCUCCAUUUCAUCUCUCGCGAGCUUCACGAUCUUGCCGGGCAUGGCCGGAGGAUCGCCCCCAUGUCCGUCUUGUACGCCUGGCGGCACCCCGGGCAUCGCCCAUCAUCCGACGCGAUCCGGUGGUGGCAAAACAAGCACAGCCGGAAGCCACACGCGCAAGGCUGAAACGAGGAAUCGGUGCUGUCCAGCUCCUCCGUGCAAAUCGGGCAGCACGCCGGCCCCGCGCUCGCGGCCGCCGCCGCUACCGAUCUCGCGAAGAAAUCCCUGUGCCUGUUCGUCACCCACGCCGCUGGCGGCCGCGGCGGUGGCGACGCUACUCGUCGCUCCACUCCAGUCGGCCUGGGAAGCAGCGGCGGUAGCGAGCUCGGGGCGAUGAUCCUGGGAAGGCUGGCCGGACGGAACGUAUCCUCAACCUUCCAAGCUGCGACGGCGGCUGGCGGAGAGUUCCUGGCGUCCUGGUGGUGGAUCAUCCUGUCGUCCCUGUGCCUGUUCACCACCAUCGCCACCUUUUCCUUCUCGGCCGGAUCCUUGUUGAGAUUCAUCUGGGAGUCGAGAGCGUCGGCCGCGGCCUCCCAAUCCUCCUCCUCCUCCUCCUCUCCCCCAUCCUUUCCUUUCUCUCCACCGAGAACUUUGUCACAGUCCCCGGAAGCUUUGUUCUUGCUCUUGCUCUUGCCUUUCCUGCCAGAUCUUCUCUUCCCUCCCUUGCUGCUCAUGUCGGGAGGAUCCAACACCACGCCCCUCUGACUAGAGCAAGAAAUGGAUGAUUUACUUACACUCGAGUUAAAAUUACAGGAGAGGAGGUCGAGCGGCCCACCGUCGCACAGAUCGUCGUGGUUGAUCACGCACGACUCGGCGUCACUGUCGCCUCCGGUGCUCGAUCCGUGGAGGUGUUGCUCCUCACCCAACUUGGGCGAUGGGCUCUCAAGCACGGAAUUCGGAGACAAGCUCGCCACAAGCUUCCCUACACAGGAAAAAAAGGGGGAAAAACCAUUCACUCCAUCCAUCCACCCAAGCGAGAAAGGAAGAAAAAGUCUGUGUCGCCUACCUUGAGAGAGCCAUUGCUCGCGCCGGGCAUCCAGCUUGAACUGCUUGAGCUUGGCGUUCCUGUUCACCUGCGCAAGAGAAGGAAGGAGACCAUGAAUUAGGGUUUAGAGGAAACCGUGGGAGCGCUGCCAAAUCCUUACCCUCUUUCGCUUGCUGGCGUCGCGGGCGAGGAGCGAUUCCAAGGGGAGCUGGCUCGCGUCCAUGGCGAUGGCGAUGGAGCUGGAAGAAGAGAUUUUCGCGAUUUUGUUGGAAAGAGAGAAAGGGUAGGAAGGAAGGAGGAGAUAUCAAAUAGUAUAACGAAAAAGCACGGCCGCGGCGGCGAAGAGCCCACUGAUGAUUUAACGGAGGAGGAAGACGACACGCCAAACCGGAUUGGACGGCCAGGAUUGCUUCCGUUUGACCGAAGCAAGCUCCGAGCCGAUGAAGCAUUCGCUGACACGUGGCAUCAUCGUAUAUGAUCUUUUUCUUGGCGAGUUGCGUGUUCGAUGCCUGACAGGGGAAGAAAUUAUAUUAACGGAUAAAAAAGAAAGUGCCGUUACUCGCAGGAAAGUCAAUACAGGAAUAUACCUCCUUCACUCGAACUUGAAAUUAGGGUUCUAGCGCAGCAGGCAUGGUGAUCUUGCGGCGGAUGCGCACGCUUCUCUUUCCGCCCUUCCUGGCACUCUUGGCGAUCAUCUUCUGGAGCGCCUCUCUUCAGAUCCCGAGCGCCUCUGUUCUCGAUUUCGAGUGUCUCGUGUGUCAUGGCGUCAAUGUCGUCAAAAAUCCAUUGUGGCAAUUGGGCGCGCUCAGCCUCGAGAGGGAUCCGCCCAAGCAGCGAUCCGAGAGCGAGAUCGUGGUAGCCAGCGACAGCGUAACAGGGCUGCCAAGUCUAGAUGAUCAAGAUCGCGUCUUUCAGCUGGAAAUUCCUUCUACUUCUGCGACGGCAUCAGCUGAUUUGGAAGGCGGUGAAGAUGAGAUUGACAAACAAAAGGAGAUUGGUGAAUUCUUCCAGGAGCUCCAAAGGAAUUCAUCGUCCACUAUAGCCGAUCGUAACAGCACUCUUGAAGAUUCCAGCCAAGCAGGGGAGAGGCCGCUACAACCGCCCAACGAUCCAUCAAUAGCUCGAAACGCUUCCAUUAAUCCCCCUUCUAUAAGUUCCUUGACAGCUGAUGGUCAAGAGGAGAAGCGUGCGAUCCAGGAGGUGGAGCGACUUAUGCAAUUCUUGCGAAGAUCAGGAUCAGGCCAGGUAAAGAAGUCUCCACAGGAUUGUCAGGGAAGAAACGUCUAUGUCUACGAUCUUCCACCCAAAUUCAACGCGGAUCUCCUCAAGCAAUGCGAAACUCUGCUGCCAUGGAUGAGCAUGUGUGAUUUCGUCCGCAAUUCGGGAAUGGGUCUUCCAGUUUCGAUCGACGCCGCUCGCGAUUUCCUCACUCCUCGCGGAUCUUGGUUCAAGACGCACCAGUACGCGCUGGAGAUGAUCUUCCACGCCCGGAUCCUCGACUACUCCUGCCGGGUGCUCGAUCCAUCCCUCGCCGACGUGUUCUACGUGCCCUACUACGCCGGCCUGGACGUGAUGCGAUCGAAUUUCAUGCCCAACGUGAGCAGCGCACAGCGCGACGUGUUGGGCGACGAGCUCAUGACAUGGCUGACUAAGCAGCCGUCCACGUGGAAAACGGGCGACCGACGUGACCAUGUCAUAGCUCUGGGAAAAAUCUCCUGGGAUUUCAGGCGUAUGACAUCGGACGCAAGAUGGGGGAGUAAUCUCCUCGCUCGCGCCGACAUGGCCAACGUCACCAAGCUUCUCAUCGAGCGCCACCCCUGGCACCCCAAUGACGUGGGCGUGCCACAUCCCACCUUCUUCCACCCGGGCUCGGACGCGGACAUCACGACGUGGCAGGCUCGCGUGCUCCGGGACGACGUCCGGCCGAGCCUCGUCGCCUUCGCGGGCCAGCCCAGGCCCGGGCAGGCGGGGAGCAUCCGUGGGGAGCUGAUACGGCAGUGUACGGCUCGCUCGGACCUGUGCCGGAGCUUGGACUGCGGCUCCAGGGCUUGCUUUGGUCCCGAGGCGACUCUAGGUUUGUUUUUAGCCUCGGAUUUUUGCCUCCAGCCAGUUGGCGACAGCCCGACCCGGAGAUCUGUGUUUGAUUCGCUGCUGGCCGGCUGCAUUCCGGUUUUUUUCGACCCCUUCACGGCCUACUACCAGUAUCCAUGGCAUCUUCCGUCAAAUGGUAGCGCAUAUUCUGUUAUGAUCGCGGCAGAUUCUGUUACCGACGUGGAUAUCGUGGGCGAGCUCCAGAAGAUUCCAUUCGCACGGAGGAAGGAGAUGCGGCAUUUCAUUGUCCACGAGAUUCUCCCCGGGAUCGUCUACGCGCAGCCGGGAUCCAAACUGGAGAAAUUCGAGGACGCUUUCGACGUUGCCAUGAAAAACGUGAUUGCCAGGGUCGCUUCGAGAGAGAUUUACGAUUCCAGCGAGCUCAGAUGAUCGAUCACCCAAAGUUUGCUUGUUGUAUAGAUUUAUAAACACAAUGACACACACACGACACAUUCUUUUAUAUCUCUUUCUUCACGGCAGCAAAAGCAAAUGGUGUUCCACAUAAGACUUAUACAAAGUGUUCUUCCGUUCUCACAUCAUCUUUGUUUUUGCUAUCCAUCUUGGACGGCUCAUAAAUUAAUCCUUGAGGACUCCAAUGGGAAGUAGAAGAACGAUGGAUCCAUCCAUCCCAUCACUCCCGCAGCUCGAGCUCGAGCUCUAAAGCCAGGCCGCGGUUUGCUAGAUGCUACAACUCCCAUUCACUUCAUGCCUCGGCCCAGAGCGUGGAGAGGAAGAGCUGUCGAACGAACUUUGAUCGAACGCUUGCCUCUUCCAGCUUCUGCUCUCUCUCUUCGGCCGUGAGGGAGCAUUCAGCACUGUUAAGAUCCAAAAAAAUCGCAACUUGAUCAGCAACUGCUGCGAGAAAUCACUUUCGUAUACAAAGACAUACCUUAGCUCGGCUGGAGCUGUGGAAGUAGCAAGAGAAACCGAGUCCGAGUUAUCCAAGCUCAGCUUGGAAGAAUCGUCAAUCUCGGAUAUGGGCAUGUUACAGACAAGCGUGGACAAGAAGAGAUCCGGAAUUCCAGAUCCUGUCCUUGCCGGAGAGCACGCUCCCAGGAGAGCCUGCAAGUGUGCUUGAUUCAUGUCCUUCCCACUGAAGGGAAAUCCGGAAUGGGACGUGAUUCCCGGCCUCCUAAACUUGCGACGCCUCUGAAAGUAAGCUUCUCGUCAAGGAUAAUACAAACGAGGAACCGGAACAAAGAUAAGAAAACCAACUUUUUCGAAGGAUAUCUUGAAGAGAUUUCCGUGAUGAACUGUGAUAUGGCUGAUCAUGUCCUUCCCGACUUUGGCAGCACACACGGGACACAGCUAUAGACACAGAAACGCAAAGAAUCAAAAUCCACGAAGGAAGAAGAAGAAAAAAAAGAGAAUUUUCUUACCACAGGUCUUGAUUCGGAGAAAUGCUCGUCCUCCAGGUGAGAACACAGAGAGAGCAAGUCCAGUCCCUCGAAACAGUAUGGACAAGCAAAAUCCGGUCUCAGUUCCUCAUCGCCCUCCACAUCAUCCACAGUGAAGUGCUGAUCUGCAUUGCGAGCGCAGAAAACCAAUGUAACACCCACGAAAAAAUUCGAUAGUGGAAAAGGAGGAGAAGAGAGCUUUAUAGCUUACCCAGCAUCGAAUGAACGGCGUACUGGCGCUUAGAAAGCAAGCGAGCUGCCCACAUAUCGCCCUCCAUGCUUGCUUCCGCUGCGAAUGCGGCCGAACGGCGAUGAGCACCUCAAAACCCUGGUCAAUCCCGGCCCGCCGCUGCAACCACACACGAUUCUUGCGACGGCCGCGCACACGAGAGGAAUCGCGACAUACCGGAGGGGGGAAAUCGAGAAUGCCGCCGCGGCGUCGCUAUCUGGGCGCACACAAGCUUCCCUCUUGUGUGGAUAUGGCGUCCCCGAACCUGGACUGGGAUCCCAGACCUAGAAUCCCGAACCUGCGGUUACCGUGCCACGCGGCCGCGGCGAUCUUUCCAUUUUGCAACCGCAAAAACAUUAUAAGGCUAUCAUAGACACGUGGCGCGGAGCCAUUGGCUGCAGUAGUUGACUUCGCCGUGGGUACUGUACGAAGAACAGGGUAAAAAAGCGGCAUUACUUUCUCUUUCACUUGGAAAUCCAGUAAAGGAACAUCAAGAAAGUGCAAACUGAAAUCACGGCUGACAAGAUCAAUGUGUCCUGGUUUUUUUUUCUUCGAAUCGCAACUAGAACAUGGUUCACCUGGAAAGCACGCAUCAAAAAAGGAUUUUUUUUUUAUCCCCACACUGAUCGAUCUGCGAACUUCUUACCGACGGUAGAAUCGAUCCUACGUUGUUGAUCUUGAAUCCGAUCGUUCCAAACAAGCUUCGCUGCGUGGACAGCGCGCUGAGAGCUGCGUGUGCUUGAUUCACGACCGAGUCUAUCUGAGAACCAAGUCACUGUAAGAAAAAAAGGAAGUAACUUUGUCUAGAUCUUAGAAGAACCUGAGCAGUAGAUCUCUGGAUGGAGCUCCUCUCUUGCACAAGGGGAUCAACUUCCAAUCUUCUCUCCGAUGGCGAUCGAAAAGAGUGGAGCAAUUCGGCGUGCUCGCGAUUGUCUUUGGCAAUAGCUCGUUUCCUCUUAAACUCCUGCGAGAGCUCUCACUAUGUCAAGGAGAAAAGAAAGUUCUUUCUCAUACAUUUUCUUACCUGGACGAACUCGUGAGAGAUGUUUAGAUGGCGUGCCAAGGUAUGAGAAACAAUGUCAGAACCGAUCGCUGACAUCAAAGACUGCAUACUCGAAUUGAUUUGCUGGAGUUGCUUGAGCAGCCUCUCGAUCUCCGCUUCACAAUCCUCCCCCGACUGAUCUGGCCGCCCAAAACUCGCAAGCUUGGCAUCGAUCUCAUUCUCCAGCCUUCGCGCCUGGCAUUAAACCCUUAGAGAGAAUUCUCACGGAUCAAGCGCCCAUUGCUCACCUGCUUGCGGAGAUCGUCCCAUCCGACUCCGGCGAAGCUCGGAUCCACCGCCAUUUUCUUUCUUCUUCUUCCUCACGAACCCUAAUUGGAAGCCCUAGUCAGUGACAAAAAAAGAGAAGAUACCAAAAUUUCAAAUUCAAAUUCAAACCAUUCGCGGCAAUCGAUCGAUCAAUGAACGCCUCCAAAAACGAAGAAGAUCUCUCUCCCGUGAAACUCGAGUGGGUCCUCAAAUCGAUCGUGAGCUUUUUUUUCUCGGAAAUUCAACGUGAUCGCACGUAGCUCACUCAAUGGUAUAUCUUUGAGCGCUCGCGCGAUCUCCCGAGCGAUGGCGAAAUGGAGCAGCAAAGAAGAUUGGGACAAACAACGCCAGCGCCAAAUCCAAAACCUGUUCCUCACGGUUCUGUGCCUCAGCCUCGCCGUUCUUCUCAUCGCUGUGCCUCGGGAAUACAGAACAACGCAGACCUUCUCGAGUAAGAGCUAGAACUUUUGACAGAGAUUCUUGGCUUACUUGUGAUCGAGCAGGAGCGAGCGAAAGGAUCGAAUCCACAGGUAAGUCCGGUGCUACGUCGAAGAAAACCGUGGAGGAUGGUGUUGCCUGUGAUCUUUCAAACUAUCGCACAGCAGUGUGUCGCCUCGCUGGUGAUCUGAGAAUCAGCGGCAGCACGGUGACACUGUUUAGUCCUCGCAACACCGACGAGGAGAUCCUCGUCCAAAAGAUCAAGCCAUACCCGAGAAAGUGGCAGAAGCAGCUGCUCGAAAAGAUUAGCGAGGUGACGAUCAAAGUGAGAAGAUCCAGCUCCUCAACUCCACAGCACCAGUGUGAUGUCAACCACACGCAAGCCGCCAUGAUCUUCUCGACUGGAGGCUACACCGGAAGUGUCUACCACGACUUUAACGAUGGUCUCAUCCCCAUCUAUAUCACCUCGCACGGAUUCGAGGGCGAGGUUGUGUUCUUAGUCUCCGAGUUUCAGCCGUGGUGGAUGAAGAAGUACGGUAGCAUUGUCAAGCAGAUGACCAAGUACCCCGUCCAAGACUUUUCCAGCAACCCCGCGCAGCACCGCGUCCACUGCUUCCCCAAAGUCGUGGUCGGUUUGGACAUUCACGACGAGCUUGCCAUCAAUGCCGCAAAGAUGUCGCAUGGAAAGUCCAUCCGAGACUUCCAAUCCAUCCUCAGUGCUGCCUUCUCGGCCUCGGACAGUCGGACCAAAGUUCCAAGCACCAGGCCGAAGCUCGUCUUCAUCACUCGGCGAAGAACUCGGGUUGUCACCAACGAGGAAGAAGUGGUCCAGCUUGCGGAGAGAGCUGGAUUUGACGUCGAGGCUCUGGAACCCGGAUUCAACCACGAGAUGGCCAAUCUUUACGGGAUCAUACAGUCGGCCGACGUUCUUCUCGGUGUCCAUGGAGCAGCAAUGACACACCUGCUGUUUAUGCGACCGGGAUCACUCCUCCUCCAAAUCGUUCCACUUGGAACCAAGAGCCCGUCUCGGUCGUUCUAUGGAAACCCGGCCAUGAAAGCUGGUAUGCAGUAUAUGGAGUAUAUCGUCGAAGCCAGUGAGAGCAGCCUGUUGAAACGCUUUGGACAGAACCACUCCGUGAUUGUGAGUCCUCCAGAGAAUCCAGGAUCGUCUUCCGGGUGGAGCGAUAUGAAGAAGAUCUAUCUCGACAAGCAGAACGUUACUAUCUCGCUUUCGAGGUUCGAGCCAGUUCUUCGAGAAGCCUUUGAGAAAAUCUCAUCUCUGUGACCGACGUGGAUCCGGCAGCGCAGCAUGUAAAGAAAGUUCUUCCCCUCGGAGUGGUUUGUGAUGAGUUUUCGUUUCUUCCAGCUAGCCAGCGUUGAUGAUCCCAGCUAGAACAACAUACGGAGCUGCCUUCUGCGGAUUGAGAUGAGAGACCAACUUCGUUCCUCGGCCCCGAUCACUCUGGAGCUUGCAAGAACUCAGCAGAGCUGUCCACUGGCCGGUACCGGGAAUGAACGGCAUGCUUCCGAUGAGAUCUUCCGCCUCGUUGAGCUCUCCUGCUCGUCCCAAAAUGUCGAUCAUCAGACCGUAAUGCUCCCUCGCGGGAUUCACUCCAUGGUCGCCAACCAUGGAGCUAAAGCAGCACAACGCGUCUCUCAGCACCCCAGAGUGAGUGAAACCACUCAGUGUGCUCAUCAUCGUCAUGUCGUCGGGGUGGAACCCUUCCACCACCAUUUGCAGCUCCAGAUCCAGCGCCAACUUCCCUCUGCCCGAGUUUGAAAACACCGAGAUGAUCGUGUUCCAGGAUGCCGUGUUCUUCGCAGGCGUUCGAUCGAAUAUGAGCUUUGAUGAUCCAACAUGGCCGUUGUGAGCGUAGGCAGCAGCCAGAGCGUUCCAGGAGACCACAUCCGGCUCUGGAAUCUGGUGAAAGAACUCCAUCGUCUCCUUGAGGAACAAUCCUUGAGAGAAUCCAGUGAGCAUCGCGUUCCAGGAGACCAGGCUGUGUAGAGGCAUCGAAUCAAACACCGUCUUGGCGCCGAGAGCAUCGUAGUGCUGUGCAAAAGCCGCGAGAAGAGCGUUCCAGGACGAGACAUCCCACCGCGGCAUGAGAUCAAACAAAACUCUUGCCUUCUCCAGUUCCCCAUUGAAGGCAUAACCAGCGAUCAUCCCAUUCCAGCUGACGAUGUUCCUCUCUUGCAUCUCGUAAAAGACCUCCUCCAUCUUCCUCACUCGCCGGAAGCUCCCAUAGGCCGUGAUCAUCCCAUUGCAAGAGAUCACAUCCCAAACAGGCAUCCUCCAGAAGAGCUGCUCGGCUGACUCCAGAUGCCCAUUCUGGGCAUACGCUGCGAUCAUCGCAUUGAGCGCCACGACGUUGAAGCACGGGAUCCUGGCGAAGAUUUCUUCUGCCCUGGCGAGAUUACCUCUGUCGGAGUAGGCGCUGAGCACGGCACUGCUGGAGCACACAUCCCACUCCGGCAUCGCCUCGAAAGCCGCGAUGGCGCCAUCGAUCUGGCCGCUGUGAGCGUAGCACCCGAUUAGGGUAUUCCAAGACACGAUGUUCUUGAGCGGCAUUGCAUCGAACAGAGCCCUGGCGGCGUCGAUCUCCCCGUUCCUGGCCAGCGCCUGGAACAUCGCGGUGCUGGACACGAUAUUCCACUCGGGCAUCGCAUCGAAGAGCUCCUUGGCGAGGACGAAUUGCCCGCUCUCCGAGUAGCCCUGGAGCAGCGAUGUCCACGAGAUGAUGCUCCGGCACGGCAUUCCGGAAUCGAACAGGCCCUUGGCCUCGCCCAGAUGGCCGUUGGAUGCGAGCGCGUGGAGCAUCGCAUCGCGCGCCACGCUAUUCCGGAAUGGCAUGGAAUCGAAGAGAUCCCUGGCCUCCUGCAAAUGCCCAGCCUGGGAAUAUGCGACUAGCAGCGCGGUAUCGGCCAUCACAUUCCUCUCCGGAAUCCUCUCCAGCAAAUCCCGCGCUUCAUCGACAUGCCCAUUCCGGGCAUAUGCGGUGAUCAUCAUCGUCCACGAGAACUCGUUUGGGUUGUCAAUGCCAUCGAAAACCCGGCGCGCGUUGGCCACACUCCCGCAUUUGCCGAACAUUUCAAUGGCGAGAUUGCGAAGGUAAGUGCUGCUGCGGCAUCUGCUGGAGAGAAUCGAGGCAAAGAUUGCAUUUGCCCUGACGGGGUCAUUUUCCACACCGCAUUUCCUCAGUAGCAGCGCAUACUUAUCCUCGUCAACCAGGAACAUGAGAGUUCUAAGCCGUGUUCCUUUUGCAAGUGGCAAAUAUGCCAAAAACUUGUAUAAAUGUAAAUAUGUUCUGUUUUAGAUCUUAGAGCGCCCACCUUGCUAGAUUUAUUGCUGACCUUGUCAAAGGUCUAGCAAAUGUAUGAAGAACAACUUACUCGUGAACAGUCGUGUAAACAGUGGAGUGAUAAUGGAGAGAUUUGGAAUGAUCCCAGCUCGGGGAUCUUGGAUCUUGGACCUUGGUGUUACGUACACGACAAGCUAUAAGAAUUUGUGGGUUGGUCGUACGUACGGAAGCAAAAGCAAAGUGUUUGAUACCUAAUCGAAGAUCAUUCUUUCAAUAGCCAAGCAAGGUGGCGGGGAUCCAUAAGUUGGCGCAAGUUUCCGAGGCGCGCAAGCUAGCAUCAACGCUUCGUGGACACAUGGACCGUAUCAAACACUGCUCAAGAUUUUUCUCGCGAGUUACGUGGCACCACUCAAGCGCAGCACAUCUAGAUCUUCUGGAAGUUUAAUUAACUCAGACACGAGCAAUAGUUAAUCUUUUAUUAACGAACUCAAUCUUAGAGAAAUUAAACUAGAGGCUCGGGCAUUUGGAUUGGCCGCGACUGUGUUGCCAUUGCUCGAGUGAUUUGAUCAAAGUUUUCAAGGUUUUGUCGCUGAUUAUAGACGAGGUUUUUGUGUGGUGCUCACGGGUGACGUGACGUGACGGGCGGGAUCCUUGGGUUGCGACGGGCCACAAGCGCGUCAACGCUUCACAAGCACAGUGCCACCCGUCAAUCUCCCAGCCACUCUACCUAUAUGGGCACGCAUCACCCCACCAUUUCUCUUCGUCUCUCUCUUUUCUCUCUCUCUUCUCUCGCACUAGUUCUUCGCUGGCUUCUCUCGCGAUCGGUGCCUUCUCUGGGCGAUUCUCUUGAAUCUGGCAGCUUGAUGCUGCCGCGGGGACGAUUCGCGAGCGCGCGAGCUUCCCGAAGAUUCCACUCUAGGUCUGGCGGCGCUUUUCUUUCUUCGAUCGAGCAUUGAGGUAUGAAUGCCUUCUUGUGCUUGGAUUUCUUCUCUCUUUCUCUCUCUCUCGUGCUAAUUCUUGCUUGGGCUUUGUUUUCCAGAAGUUUUGUACCAGCGGCUAGCUUAGAGCUACAUUAUUUUUCUUCGCGUCCCGCGAAAACAGUGUUUUUUUCUUCUUCUUCUUCUUCUUCCUCUAUUGCCUCUUUUGUGGAAAAUAACAAAAGAGCCCGUUUUGUGGGUACGACUUUGUGGAUCAUUGACUCUGGGUGGAGAUCAAACUUAUCCCUUACGCAAGUGUCUUACAUUUUCUUUCCCAAAAAGGUUUCCAAGUUCCAAGCACACACCAUGGGCUGUGCGCUCACCAAAACCGAGGACGAGCACAACUCGGUGCAAGCUCCCGUCCAGACCGAGGAACUCUGCGUCUUCUCGCCCGGCUUGCGGCUCCCAAAGUCACUGGAACUCGCAAACUCGGAUCACCUCCUCCAGGCCUCUGCGAGAAAUUUGCUGGAGAGAUUGAUGAGCGUCCACUCGAGACUUGCCGCCGCGGCGCAAGAGCUCGUCUCUACAAAGAAACUCAAGAAAAAGAGGUCUUCGCUAACUGGUAACCCGUGCAUUCUCUGCAGAUUCUCUCGAUCAUCAAACUGACUGUUUGUUUGUCCAUUGUGAUCGUGUUAGUCUCGAACAUAACACAGCUUAAGGAGGCCAUUGACGACUACUUACCAGUUCUUCUCAAGCUCAUCCGGAAAGGUACGCUUAAGUUACGCGAAAAGCUUUCGGUCUUCUUAGGAUUGUCCAAACUUACCCUUUGGUUUUCGCUCUAGAGCCACGGUUGGCCGACCAAGUUCUGUUCACUUGGACAAACCAAGAGGACGAGAUAAAGGUGCGGGAAGAACUGUGCUUGUUUGCAUCUCCUCGUCUUUUGUCUAACUUUUGGGAAAUCUCUCUUUUGUACGUCGUUGAUUGCAGGAAACGACGCUGCAAAGCCCGUAUUACGAAGUGCUGUCUGUGCUACAGCUCCUGGCGACGCUCUCGCUGCUGGAAGCGAACAGGGCUCUCUUGUUUAAACCUGUAAACUUGGAAGCCAGCCAUCACAGGCAGAUCAUGGACGGUAAGAGCCUUGAAUGCGUUCCUUUAUUUUGUAGAGCGCGACCUUUACCUCUUUCUCCAACAGAAACCAAGAAGUCUGCCAUGGAUGUUCUAUUCAAAGCUGCAGAGAUAUUGGAAUGCGCGCUUAAAUCUGUCCUCCCUCAAGCCCCUCGUGAAGUAAGGUGAGUUUAAAGUCUGCUAAAUUGGUGUUCCAGAGCUCGUUCGUUGUCUGAUCUUGUUUUUCUUGUUUAAAAACUAGCAGGAAUCAGCUGCCAGUGGACUUAAAGGAGGGCACGCUGCAGGCAAUGCAGCUCCAAGCGCUAGGACAGGUGAGAGACAGCAAAAAAAAACACUCUUUUUUCCUUUAGUUUUUUGUCGUAGCAGUGCAGUGAUAUUUAUUUUUCUCUGGACUGCUUUUGCUCAGACUGUUGAGAUCCAACUGGGCCUGGCAGUCGACAAUCCGAAAGCAACCAUGGCAGUGAAGCGUCGAUUAGCAUGCGAGGAGCUCAAGUACUGGCAACAGGCUUGUUUCUUUGCUCGAUCUCUCUCGCUCAACUCCAAAAACUAAACUUUUUCCUUCAUUGUCUUUUGCAGGCCUACGAGAACUUGCAAGCUGUAAACCUGGGAAAUGGAUGGGGUGACAAGCAUUUACUUUUCAUCAGAUGGAAACGGGCCGAGGCCAAGGUAAGCAAUCUAAGCAAAGUUGAUCCCAGCAAUCUAAGCAAGAGUUUUUGCCUUCUGUGGAUCAAAGGUCGCAGCUUAUUACUUCCACGGCCUGAUCUUAAACGAGAGCAGUGACAGCCAAGGCGCAGCAGCCUGCCUCCGGGCGUCGGCACACUUCUUCAAGGAAAGCGAGAGAAUUUGUGGCGACUUUUGUGCAACAGCGCCCAUGACAACGAAGUACGUAGCAAGCAAAACUGUUUGAUGGUUUGUGCAUGGUUGUGGUCCUACGUUUGCCUGCGUGCUUUGGCCUUUCUAUCUUGAUUCUUCUGCCAGUCCUCGCUAGUCUUUCCAUUUUCUCAUUCCGCUUUUCGCUUUCCUUGAUCUAAUGGGAAUGAAACUAAACUCCAAGGGGCGCCGUGUGUGCAGCAGGACACUGGUUGGCAAAUCGCCAUCAUGGGGUCCAAUGAAGCACCUCUCGGAGAAAAUUUCCAAGGACGCAGUAACAUCAACACAGCACGACUUCUUCGAAGACAACAGGUAAGUUCUCGUGCUUUGGUGUAGGUGGUGUUUGGUCUGCUCCAAACACACAGGGUUUUAGAUUCUUGCUCUUGCUCGCUCGCGAAGUUUCUAAAUUCUCUGCUUCUUUCUACUGCCAUUUCCAGAGACAGGAUCGUGGAGCUACCAGAUUUCGCAUUGGCGCUGCAAGUAGACGCGUACCAAAUGCCAGAGGCCGACGAGGAAGGAGAAAUCGACGAGAAAAACUCCGCCGUGGAGCUUGGGAUUCAAAGCGGGCCAUCGUUUCUGACAGAAGAACAAAGUACACAAUACGCAUAGGGGCAAGUCAAGUAAGAAGAAACUCGGGAAAUUUUUUGACUGCGCAGGAGUUCCAAAAAAAGAAAAAGGUGGUAGAAAUGCGUGGUAGCGACGCAAGCAAAUCGCUAGCGCUAGAAGAAGAUGGGCUAUCGACGUCCAUCGCGACUGUAUAUAAAUGUGCGUGUGCUUGGCAAAAUUUCAACGCAAACAAAGUAGUUUGGUAAAAUUCUAGAAGGGAGUCGUGCCGGGUGGGAAUCGAGCCGGGGAUGUGCCGGCGUGGCCACGUUGUGUGCCAGCUGGAGCGCGUGGGCUCGAACCUGGCACCAGUGCCGUCCAGGCUCAACUGGGACCGCCCUCCAGCUCAUGCCCAGCCAUGCGCAUCAUGGCCAUCAUGCCAAUAAAUACCAUCCCAUCCAAUGGAAAGAGAGAGAGAGUAGCGGCCAGCCCUAUCUUCCAUUCUUUGUUCUUGGAGCUUUUUGACAAGAGAGAGAGAGAGAGAAGAGGGAGAGCAGUCGAUCGAUCGGCAUUCUUGCGAGAUUUCUCUCGUCUCCUCCUCCAGCUCUCGAAAUGGCGAGCAGAUCCGCGUUCUUGAUCGUGGCGGCGGUGGUAGCCGUGGCCUCUAUGGCCGACAUUGCCAUGGCGCAGGCGCCCAGCCCCGCUCCAGAGGCCGGCGCCGGCACGGCAUUGGCGAUUCCAGUGCUGGCCGCGGGAUUCCUGGCAGCGCUCGCCAGUUUCUUCCUUUGAUUGGCGCGGAUCGAGCAUGAGCGGCAGCAGCAUUCUUUUUUCUCCCCUUUUUACUUCCUCUUUUCUUCUUCUUCCUCUCUCUCUCUCUCUCUGAUUUCGUAUAACGGAUGGGUCUGCUGGAGAAAUUUUGGGAUCUUUUGUAUCAUACUAUAGCACUACAGGGGCGGCUUCUUCCUCUUCCUCUCUUUUGGUUCUACACUAUCUCUCGUUGGUUCUUGUGGGUGGUGGAUUUGGAAUAGCGGUAGCAGAGUGAUGGAUGGGGAUGGGGGGAGCUGUGGGUUUUCUUCGGCCGACCUUGUUUCGGGGUGUUCUAUUUUGGAUUCUUUGUUUUGAAAUAAGGAACGAUGGUAUUGCUAGAGCACUUAGUACAGACACACCACGACUAGCCUAGAAAACACUCUGUACAGAUUUCCCAUGAAUAUACCAUCAUCUUGCAUUCUACUUCCAAGAAAGCCUCUGGAUUUCGAUUUCUCCUCUUCGUCGCCUGGGGCUGAAACGAUCGAAAGGGGAGAAUUGUUGAUCUUGUUUGGCUCACUCGAGUCUCUUGGUUGCUCCUGGGGAUCUGGAGAGGACGACAAGGAAGAAAACAAAAGAGUUGGUAUAUGGUAUAUGGUGUAUGGUAUAUUGCUUGCUUGGUUGCUUGGGAGAAUGGAGGCGGAGGCCCACCAGUGUGAGAGACAGCUCGAAUGUGUGCUGUGAAAAGUUGUGGGUGUUGUCGUACGUGAGGGAUUUCUGGACAUGGCACAUGCAAGCGCUGGCUGGAAUUGGGUACGAACGCCCGGGCAUAUACCAGAAUGUUCCAUUUAUUCCAUUUCUCAUGAGGCACGGGCGACGCACGCAAGACUGCCAAAACUCUCAGUUGUCUCUUGUGUUCUCCAUACAAAAAACUAUGCUGCCAAAAAUGAGAGUAGAAAAGAUCUCUCCGAGGUGAUCGUAGACAAGAGCUGGAUUGAACCAUCCAAAUCUAAACAAAGAGCUCACUCGGUCUGGAAAAACGAGGAAGAAAUCUAUGCACGACAUACCUCCACAUUGCCGUGUAUACCAGCAAAGUCGUCACAUACGCCGCCAUGCCAUUGGAUUUGUUUUCGCUAAAUGAGAGGUUAUAUAAAAAUAAAAGUAAAGCAUAUAUUAUAU
rnacentral:lncRNA from 1 species